ACACACUCCUUUCCCAGCCCAGGGGCACGCGAACAAAAUGAGGCUCAAGCUGACCAGGCCGAGCCGGAGGAACGCUGGGGCUUGGCAGCAGAAGGGAUGGGACCAGAGAGAAGGGUGUGGAGGAGACCCCAGUGAGGGCCAGGACAUUUCAGGUAAAGAGAGGUCAUAUCUCCGUACCUCACUUCCUGACACAAACAAGUUUUCACUGUUGUCAGCAACAAAGCCCUAAUAUAGCUGCGGAAGAGAAAAACUGCAUUGCAUUUUGCCUCCUGCAAGCAUCAUCAACAGUUACUGGAGGAACGUAAUUCCAGAAAGCUUGAAAGCCGUGGUGAUGGUAAUUAUGUAUCAAAUGCCUGGUUCUAUUUCUGUUAUUAUUGUUUUGUCAUUUCUGUUUUCCCAGCGAUCUGACUGAACUCGCAGAGGGACAAAUCCAGUUUUUCUUUUUGACUUUUGUCAAACUAAAUCAGGCCUGAUAGAAAACUCAUUGCUCUCCGGGGAAACAAAGUAGGAGCCACGAAAUGUCAUUUUAACAGAGCGUGGGUUUGGUGACUGUAGGAAAGGAUUUGAGGACGCUCCUUCUGUUCGGCUUCCUAUGUCAUGAGCACAGGCUCCACGCACGCACAGACACCACGGCUCCCGGAUGCUGUGGCUCCCCGAUCGGGGCUCCUGCAGCGCCAGAAGCCCCUCCGGGAUGCUUCGAGGGGCUCCCGGUGGGUGGAGGUACGGACGCCGCUGCGGCCGCCGCCGCCAGUCCUGCUGCUGUUGUUGCUGCUGCAGUCACGUGGGAGCCCCUUUAAGUUUCCAUAGAGAGGCCUCUCUGGUGUCACAUGAUGGACAUGAUAUAAUGAAACAACAUUGUGGAGAGGAAAGCAUUAGGGGAGCCCACGGCUACAAAAACAAGUGAGUGAGAAGAGGUGGGAGGAAGAGAAACUACGCCACCUCCCCUGCAGCCGAGUGCACGCAGCAGCCUGGCGUGACAAGUGGGCGACGCCGGGGGGCAGGGAGCCGGGGUCCUUGGCCCUGGCCGGGGACCCCACCGCCCACCGCGCGGAGGACAACUUUUAGCCGGCAGCCCAGACCAGCGCGGCACCUGUCUCCGGAGUCUCCACCGCUCCUCCCGAUUCAUCCCAGGGAAAUUCUCAAGAAUACGCUCUACAAAUCUACGUGCGCAUCAUUUUCACCUCGCGUCGCGCCCGGGAGGAAGGAACGAGGCAAGGAGCUAAAGCAGCGUGCGUUCAGCCCUGGGGCAUUUUAUUAAUGCUUUUACGAGUUAGAAGAGUUGGGAUAAUUUGCCAUCUGGAGUUUCUCUGCCUUGCUGAUCUGAGCUCAGACCUGCCAAUUUACCAGAGAUAAUUGAUAACACCCUGUAACAGCUGAGAGGAAAAUGGAAGAAACGGAGAUACUUUUAGUGAAGCAGAAUAAACCACUGAACAGGAAAAAUGAGGAAGCUGUGAGUACCAGUGGAAGGAACGAGCCAGGAAGAGGGACUGGAACCAUCUCAGAAGCCAUGCCCCUCAGGCUGGAACUUGCCCUGUCUCCUCGCAGAUGAGACUGAGUGUACUUGGUCUGGUAUUUGUGGCAUAACUUACGGAACACAUAAGAAUGAUACAGAUACUAUUUAAUGAUGACCUAAUACAAGCUUAGAUAGCUAAGGUGAAAGCUUCUAUGGCCUUAACAUUUUCCUCUUGAAGAAUGUAUUUUCUGUAAUAAAAUACAGUGGCUACUUGAAAUCUAUAAACUUAUGUGAGGUCUGGAUAAAUCUGAGCAACUUUCUUCUUUGUGCUCCAGGAACCUACGCACUAUAUAUAUAAAUAAAGCUUAAGUAAACAUCACUGCAAUCUGUGUUUUGUUUGAUUAUAUUACGUAUUGCCUGAUCUUUAAAUAAUGAUGAAAAAUAGCCUUUAACAUAAACCAUGAAUGGAUAUGCACUUGAGGGAAACAGUUUCUUGGAUAAUUAAACUUUAAUUUCUCACCGUGGAUUCCUUGGAUCUUGUAAUAUUUUUUAAAACAGUCCUGGGGAUUUAUUUUUAAGGCGUCCAAAUGAAUUAUUAGUUCUCAAAAGCCAUAGUAUAUUCAUGGGUCGAUAUAUCCUCAAAACACUAUUUUUAAACUGCUUAGUUUAUUUUUCUUAGCGUGCUCAUCUGCUGCAUAAUUUUCUUUGCUAUGUAUGGGUCACAUGCUUCCUCCCGUCCAUAACUCACGCACUUAAAAUUCUCACUUCCUGAUUGAGCCAUCAGAUUACGUAAAAUGUAAAUCAGCCUGAAUACCUAGGAGCAGGAAUUUUAAGGGAGAAAAUGCCGUUUUCUUUUUCUGUGUCAUUAUUAACCCUUAAAUAUCAGAGUGAGUGUCUGCUCACCUAUUUGUAUUUGGAAACGAGAUACUGUUAGGGGUUUUUCUUGGCCCUUCCCUUUCAGAUUGAAUCAGACUUUGCUGCUUUCCUUAUACAAAAUAAUGUACCAACUAGAUAGACGGUGGGAGUGGUAUCGUUGCAGGAAUGAAACCAAAAGGGUUCCGAUGAUUGAGAGAGAUUCAUUUAUUUUUUAACUCUUCUCAUGAUCUGAAUGAAGAGUACAGCAUCUAUCAAAAGGUAACAACCUAAUAUUUCAGAAUUGCAAGUGGCCAUUUAGCCUUUCUGCUGCCUGAUAUAAAUGAAAGUAAUUCCUAGCAGGCAGGAUGACACUUGUUUUAUCACGAAUCUGACAAUCCAGCACAUUUUCUCAAGCAAUUUUGAAGUUGUCGUAGUAACAGCAUGGCAUUUGGAGGGUCUUUUUAGUAGUUCUUUAGCUAGAGUUAAUUAAUUGUAUUAACUCUGGAUGUUUUUCUUUUUACUCCUCUUUGACAAACAAGGGCUAUAAUUGCUCAAAUAUGUAUUUUGUGUUCUAUAUUUUUUGGUGACUAUAGUUUAAGGACGUGAUGUUUUUAAGUGGUUUCAGUAAAAGGUUAUCAGUUGAUUUCAGACACAUUAAACUUGGGUUUUUAAUUUCUCUGUAAAAUUCCACUAUCAUUGUAGGACCAGGAUUUAGUUUUAUUUAAGAAGUGAAUCUGGGGAGAUAUUUGCACAAAUUGAAUUGUGGCUUGCUUCCAGUGGUUGCAACUAUCCGUUGCUUUGAUUUUGGUGUAUUUAGAAAAAGAACUGGGGAAUGCAGAAAGGGAAAUGUGUCAGGCUUACAGGAGAAAAUUGUUUCUUUAGAAAUGCAACAGGCAGGCACACCACCAAAAGCAUGUUCCAUAAAAGAAAACAAAUAAAUUUGAUUUUGUGAAACUUAAGAAUGCAGUGCUCUUUGAAACUCUAAAAUAUACUUAAAUAAAUUCUCCCCUAGGAAGAUUUGUGGGAACUUUUUAUUGGUGGAAAGUAGGUUGGAACUUCUAGUAUUAAUAGUAAAACUCUGUGGCAGAAAUUCUUGCCAAUAUGGCGGUUGGUGAGAAAGGAAUCCCGUUUCUUGGGCAGGGAGAGGGUCAGAAGAAAGAAUUGUCUGUACUCAGUCUGGAUGCCGGGACUUAAAAAGUAUCAGAUAUACAAUGCUUUUGUUUUCUUGUAUAAGUGAACAGAGAGAUGUGACACUUCUAAAAGGUCUUGUGAGUUUUGUGGGUUUAAUGCUAAUGCCACUAUCCUUACUGUUCUGUGAGUAUUUGUUCAGCCACGGGUGAUUCAAGAGAGUUGGGGUAUCAGCAUGUGCAGCCAACAGCAGUCCAGGUGCUAAUGCACCACCGGUGAUGUCAGGAGUUACGAGACAGCGGUUUCCAAACACUGCAGUAAACAAGGUCAAAGUGUCCCGUUUCGCUGGAAGAAGUUUUGUUUUUAUGAGCUGGACAGUACAUGGAUGAAGUAAUUUUUCAAAACAAACUUUAAAUUUAUACAUGUGUUUUUUUUCUUCUUCUCUUUGGAUUAAAAUAAAUUGGCCCGUUGAGAUUAAAUAAUGGUUAUGUUUUUAAGCAGAAUUAUAUUUCAUAUGUUUUUCCAGUCUUUUAUUGAUUUUCUGUUUUUCACAGAAGAAAUGAAAAUAACUUCUGAUGUAGGGUUUCUUAAAUGCAGUUUGAGAGAGCAAGAUAGGAACCAGUACUUUCAAAAUAUGGCAAGUGCAAGUCACAAUCCCUAGUAAGAUAUUCCUUCUCAUUUUGUGCCUUUGACUCUUAUUUAGACAGACGUUUAAGUACGAGAAAGCUAAUGGCGCAGAUUCUGCUGACUGUGUGGCUCUCGUCUUAAUGCGUUUUCCAACCUUGAACCUGAGAAUGCCAGAGGAUUGAGUCUCUGGACGUUCAUCUGAGCAGAUAUCUGCUGGCCGCCUGGUUCCUGAGCUAACAAGUGGGUGUCCCGGGCUUGUGUGUGUAGUCACAACAGUGGAGGUGCCACGUGGCACCCAGAGGUCGACUGGGGCUACCGCGGGGCUUCCCGAUCCUCACAAGUGUGUCUUCAGUGUCUGACAUGAACUGGGAACUUGGGGCAUCUUUAGAAGCACAGACAUUUGGAGUUCCACGGCAAACCUGGAUGUAAGCACUCACACAGCUUUUAAAGUGAAAGCAGGGACCUUGAGGAAGGAAUCGCCGUCAUCUCAUUGCCGACCUGCUUACUGUGCUGGGAAACAAAGUAAGUUCUGUUUGUUUCUUUGUUAGUCUCUCCUGCGUGUUUUUUCUUGCUAAUGUUAUUAGACACUCAAUAUCCGGCAAAUGCCAAGUUUUUUCCCCUUCAUUGGGAAGUAGGAUAUAGUUUAUUCAAUAGCUGAUUGCUUCUUUUAUCUUUUCCCUCUUCCCAUAUCUAGUGUGCCGGCUUGCUGUUUAGAGAUAGGAAGAGAUUGAAAUUUAUUAUCAAGGAGAAAACAAAAAGUGUUUUGUUUUGUUUCUAAAUGGUCCAAGAACUUUGCCAUUAGGUAAAUGACUAUGACACAGACAAGGCGUUUUGCAUGGUAUGACCAGGAGCACCUCUAGCAAAACAGCCCCAGUUCGCCGCCCUGAUUUCCAUUUGGAAGCAGGCACAGUGGGUUUCCCCAGGACCGAUGUUAACGCAGAGGGUCCUUGUGCAGGAAUUGUGCAGAAACUAGGUGGGAAGGUGUCACAGACAAGAGGCUGCAAUUUAAAAACGCAUCAGGAAAUGGAAAAGAGCUGCGAGAAUAUCAAUUAUUUAAUGAUGUUGAUAAAAACAAAUUUAAUAUAAAAAUGAGAUACAAUGUAUAGAGACCUAACCCUGUCAACAGCAACUAAACUUUACUUUCAUGUUAGAAAGUUUUGUGCCAUGUAGAUUUAUGGAAAAUGUGCUUAAUUGCCUCUAGAAAAUAAUGAAGAGGCUUCGUCACCUCCAUAGAAGAUCCUGUGACACUAGCCUAAUUCUGACACAUGGCUCCUGUUUUCCAUUUUGUUUGUUUUUUUAUGCUGAUCCUCUCUCCAGAGAUGUGAUGUGGAUUGAUUAACUUGUAAUAUAAAGUUCUAUGGUUUCUGAAAAUGCAGAGCAAAUAGAGAUGAAGAGUGGUUUGUGAUUUGUUAUUAAAUGAUCUUCCCUUCUACAUUUAGGACUGAUUUUUACUGUAGAAUUUUUUUUUUUUUUUUUUUUUUUUUUUUUUGUCAACUUGAACAGCAAUACCUUGAAGGUAAAAGGUGGGAGCACGACUGGAGUGUGGAACUGGAAAGCAGAAACCAGGGGUGUUACUUCUAUGUCUAGUAUGGAAUGUUGUGAAUUUAAGUUAGAGCUUCUGUGUCCUGGGAAUUCAUAUUUUAUCUCAAAGUGGUGCUGAUAGGACUGGAGGUAGCUGUAUUUCAUUUGAAACAUUCCAGCCUCUUUAUAGGAAUAUCUGUGAAUUUUUAAUUCAGCAAACAUCUUUAAGUGUGUCAUUUAUGUAUAGCGUUGUAGUCAGAGCUGUAAUUGUUUCACCAUUAAAUUUACGGAAAUUCAGUUUGUAAGUGAAAAAUUAAGAACAGUUUGAAAGAAGGGCGAAUGAGCAGAGCAUUGCCAUCUAAACAGUCUUGUUAAAGAUAGUGCCAAGUGAGCAGGACUGUCCCUUCUAAGCUGCCCCUCCUAAUUAAAGGGAAAGGUGGCUGCCAUCUGUCUUCUUUCAUUCAAGGCAGUAGGGGGUCUAGGGUGGAAGGAAGCAACCCCCACUUUAUUUUUCUCCCACUCUUUUUUAUAGUCAGCUUUCUCCCUAGUCAGUGACCCAGAAGGUCAUUGAUGAUCUGUCUAUCUCAGAAUGAAUAGUAGCAUAAGCACGCUUGGCACUUGCAAAAAAAAGAAAGUUUAUAACAUGCACUGAUCCAUUUAAAGUUCUGCUUGAAUUAUGUCUGAGAGUAUUGUAAUCUCUGUAUUGGUGUCUCUGCCCUGUUUGUUACCAAGGGCACUACUGGCAGGAAAAGUGGGGAGUUUUACUUUUAUUGAUUUUGCUUUUUCAUGAAAAAAUGUUUACACUCCACUGGGCAUAAUCAGAAGAUGGCAGCACAUGGCUAUGUACAGGAGAUGUGGGGAUGUACAGGAAUAUUGUUCUUAUCAAAAUCAAGGACACCUAUUAAUGAUGAUACAUAUAUGUCAUCUCAGGGGAAAGCAUGAACAAGCAUGGCAACAGAUGUCCAAGUUACUCAGUGGCCUGCUGCAGCUUUUUGGACCAGUUAUUGAAAUAAUUCACAUUGUUUAGCUUUUGUUAAGCAAUAAGGCUUUUAGCCUUUUUCUUGUAAGAAUACGUUGCAGGAGAGUUUAGUUUGGGGUCAUGUCUUCAUUGCUUUGGAAAUGUAGAAUAGUCCUCCAACAAAAUGACUGCAUUUGCUUGCCUUCGUUUCCACCUCUGUAAAUAGAAGAAAUAUCUGCUGUUUUUAUAAAUAUAUAAGAGAAUAUGAAAUAUUUUCCAUCUUUCAUAAGAACUGUGUUAUAACUGAAAAAUUCUCAAAUCUUCAGUUAUGUUUAUUUUCAAUUUUUACACACUUAAGCAAGGUGUUAACAGUCUUCUAAAGAGAUUCAGUUGUUACAAGCCUUGUUUAGUUCCCAAGUAGCAGGUAUGGACUUCUCAGAACAUACUGGUUUUUAGAACUCUCUUUGUGACACAGAAGUGUGGUAUUUCUUAAACCCAUAACAAUAUAUUUGGAGAGCUCAAAUGUGAAAGUCAUGUCUGUAAUUUUAUUUAGAGCUUUUUUUUUUUUUUUUUUUUCCAAAUUUGUCACCAACUUGCAACGAGCUUUCUUGGAAACAUAGACGUGUUUAUGUUGUUGAGUCUUGAGAUGAACAUGUGUGGGCUUCUGACGACACUGAUGCCCAGUUUGUAUGAUUGGAUGAUACCUGAAAAGUGGGUCACUUCCUAGUCAGUGAAGGGUACACAGGGCUGAAUAGGCAGGGCUUUUUGGCUUUUUCCGUGCUUUUGUUUUUGUUUUUGGUGUGUGUGUGUACUAAUUUUAGAUACUCAGCUAGGUACUUGACUGGCUAUCCUUUUUAGCAUGUGAUUUAAUUUGGUUUUACCCAUCAGUAUUUAUUUCAAGGGGACUAAAUAAACACAUUAAAUGAAGCACUUAAGAACUUUCUAUCUUCUUUUGACUAUCCACAGCGGUGGGAAAUCUCUGUCCUUUGAGGGUAGGAGGGAGCCAAUAGUUAGGUCUCAUGAAUAUGGUAGGUGAUCAAACCACUGAUUCAAGUCAUUGUUUCAUGUUAUAAACAUGGACUGAGCCAGCUACUACAUUUCAGUAGAAGGUACUGUAGAUUCAAAAGUGAACAUGGGUCUGGCAUUUCAGAAAGACACAGGUUAGUGAGAUAAAUGACUAUAAAAAGAGGUAGCACUGUAGACUGAUGUCCUGUAACAGAGGUACACGUGUGCUGUUAGAGCCAAGAGGGGGUCAAAAUAAAAAGACAGGGCACGGUGGCUCAUACCUGUGAUCCCAGCACUUUAGGAGGCUGAGGUGGGAGGAUCACUUGAGGCCAGGAGUUCAAGACCAGCCUGGGCAACAUAGAUCCCCAUCUCUACAAAAAAAUAAAAUAAAAUAAAAAAAUAAGCCACACAUGGUGGCAUGCAUCUAUAGUCCUAGCUACUUGGGAGGCUGAGGCAGGAGGAUCCCUUGAGCCCUGGAGUUGAAGGCUAUAGUGAGCUAUGAUCACACCACUGCACUCUAGCCUGAGCGACAGAACAAGAUCCCAUCUCUGAAAAAAUGGAUGAGUGAAUUAAAUUUCAAAAUAGAGAUUUAAUGGAAAAAUGAGAAUUGUUGUGUACAUGAUUUAUGAAGUGGCUUACAUAAUAUAAUUUUGGACAUGAAAGCCCUGAAAAAUAGCUUCUUAUUUUAAGGAUGAACAGACUGGGAUUUAUUUCUGAAAUUCUAUAAUUCUCAGUCAGUUGUAAGGCUUUCAUUAUAUAAUAGACUUUUUUUUUUAACCAACGGAAGUUGGACCUCUUCAAAAUGUGAGAUCCAAAAAGGUUUUGGAUAUUGUUUGAAUAACUCUCUUCUCCAAAGGAGACUGUUUUUGAAAAAUGAUUCUUUCUGACAUGUUAAAAUUGAAUAUUUUUGACACGCCAAAUGCACCAAAGUAUUAUAUGUCAUGUUUAUUGCCGAGAGUAGCUAUAUAGCUUGUGGGAGACAGUUAACGUGAAGCUUUCUUGCAUCUGGAAGUAUGGGGAGAGAGAAGGCUUCUUCACACCCCCUUUCAUGUUAUAUUCUACAGGGAAAGAAUUUCUAUCAUGUAGACACUAGGUGACUCCCUUGUGGAUAAUUUCAUUUAACAAUGAUUUCUGGGUGUUGCUCUAUGCCAGGCACUGUUCUAGGAGCUGAUGCGAAGGCUCAGCUGAUGGGCUACAGACCUGAAGGCCUGUGCUCCUCAGUGGCACUCUGUAGGUAGAUACAGAGCCACCAUCUACUGGGUGCUUCUCCUGAGUGUGACAGUGUAGGCUGGGACACGAUGCUACCCUUCAAGGAGCUUGAAGCUAAGGUUCUGUGCACAGAUAAAAUUAGAAUAAAUGCAGAGAUGCUAUAACAAGAUGUCUUAGAAAAAAGAAAAACAAAGAAUAAAUGCAGAGAGAAAGAGAAAUGUAUAAAAGGUAGAGAGAUAAACAUACCACAAGUUCAUAGAAAAGAAAGGUUGUGUGUUUAUCUGUGGCUGGGAUGAUCAAGAAAUGCUUCAUGGAUAAAGAGCCUUUGAGCCAGACAUUGAAAGAAAGGUAAUGUUGGACUUGAGGUCUUGGAGUAUCCUCGUUGAAGGAAACAUGAGCAAAGGCAUAGGUAGGGAUGGGAAAUGCCGGGGUGCAGAGUGGGCAGGAAUCGAUUUGUAGUUGCUGGGCAAUGAUGUGUGUAAACCACUAAGGAGAAGAUCAGGUAGCAAAGGUCCUUGGAGGCCAGAACCCAGAGGGCCUUGAAUGGCACGUGACUAAAUGAUUUAAACUUAAGUUACUGGGGAGCAAUGGAAGAAUUUGAGUGGCUAGAGUCCCCAUCCUGAAGAGGCCUUGCGGGGAUCAGCAUGUGGGUGCCUCUGGACUGUGAAAUAGCCAGAGCUGGGAAGCCUUUUAGAGCUGCUGUUGUGGUCCAGGAGGGAGGUGGGGAGGGCCUGGGUGAGGGGAAGGCCACUAGAUGGAGAAAUUGAAUUUAUGAGAUGGGAUUUAGGAACUGCCUAGAUAAUAGGGGUUGGCCGAUGGGAAGCAAAAAUGCCCCCAGAGCUUUGAACCCAGGUGCCAUUCAUUAUUUCUAUGCCAUCUGCCAGGCAUUGCAUAGCUAUUAUCUCAUUUAAUCUCCUCCUAAUCUUGUGGGUUGGUAUUUUCAUCCUUAUAUCAGAGACGAGAAAACUAAGGGUCAGAGAAAAUUAGCAAUUGGUCUAAAAUUGUACAGUUGUAACAGGAUCUAGAACAGGGACUUCAGUACAGGCCUCCCUGACCCCCAAGCCUGUGUUCUUUCUACUGUACUAGGCUUGGAAGACAGCGUACGUGAGAGCAAAGACAAGCUCUGUCCACUCUGUGCAUAUUCAGUGUAGGUGCUGGUGAGAUUCCCGCCUUCAGGUGUCCAGCAAGUGGUUGGAGACAUGGAGCCGAAUCUCAAGGACAUUGGGAGGAUUGAAGGUCAAGGCUUAAGAACCAUCUGCAUCCUCAUUUAUUUAUUCAGCAGCUAUUUGUUGUGUCUUCGUGGACCAGCUUGGCAGCAUGAAUGCUGUGACCAACAAGAGAGGUGUGUCCUUCACGGAGCUGCCAGGCUGGGAGGGAGCCCUGAUGGCGUGGCUUGAGUGUAAGGCAGGAGGUGUGCAGAUUGGCUGUGGGAACUUACUGGCCUAACCUUGUCAGGUCAGGGAAGCUCUCUAGAGGCAGUUGUGGUUCUCAACAUGAGACUCAAAUGAUGAGGACCCAGUUAAAAAGUGGGAAAACAGCAUACCCCAGGCCGUGGAAGUAGCGCGUACUCAGGCAGAGCAAGAUAAGAACACAGUGUCUUUAAACCAAAAACCACGUGUGGCUGGAAUGGAGGGAAGAGCAAGGAGAUAAGACAGGUGAGCAGGAACCAGAACAAGAAAUGCCCUGGAAGCUGUGAGACGCUUGGAAUUCACCUGUGAAGAAAAGAGUAGCCUCAUCUGAAUUCCUUGCCUCGAUUAUGGUCUCCAAUAGAAGAUUAAAUGGCUGUGGAGUCUAGAGGUUUUUUCCUUCGGUGUGGGCAUCACCCCUUCUGAAAGGAUGGUGUAAUGGCUAAUUGUAUGUAUCAGCUUGGCGAGGCCACAGUACCCAGAUACUUGGUCAAGCACCAGUCUAGAUGUCGCUGUGCAGGUAGUUUUUUAGAUGAGGUUUAACAUUUAUAUCAGUAGAAGGAGUGAAGCAGAUUAUCCUUUGUAAUGUAUGUAGGCCUCAUAUAUCAUCAGUUGAAGGCCUUAAGAGAAAAAGAUUGAAGUCCCUAAAGAAGAAGGAACUCUGUCUCCAGUCUCCCUUCAGACUCAAGACUGCAACAUCGGCCUGGCACGGUGGCUCACGCCUGUAAUCCCAGCACUUUGGGAGGCUGAGAUGGGUGGAUCGCUUGAGAUCAGGAGUUCAAGACCAGCCUGGCCAACAUGGCAAAAACCUGUCUCUAUUUAAAAACACAAAAAUUAGUUGGGCAUGGUGGCAGGCGCCUGUAGUCCCAGCUACUUGGGAGGCUGCGGCAUGAGAAUCACUUGAACCCAGGAGGCAGAGGUUGCAGUGAGCUGAGAUCAUGUAACUGCACUCUAGCCUGGGCGACAGAGUGAGACUCUGUCUCAAAAAAAAAAAAAAAAAGACUGCAACAUCAACUCUUCCCUUGGUCACCAGCAUGCCCUGAAGAUUGUGGAUUUGUCAGUCCCUGUAAUUGCAUGAGCCAGUUCCUUAAGGUAAAUAUCAGUAUCUACCCCCACCCCCACCACUCUCUCUCUCAAUCUCAAUCUCAGUCUCUCUCUCUCUCAAUCUCAAUCUCCCUCUCAAUCGCCCUCUCCCUCUUCCUCUUCCUCUCCCUCUCUCCCUCUUGGUUCUGUUUCUCUGGAGAACCCUGACUAAUGCAGAUAGGAAGAUAAAUAAAUUUAAGUUGUUUGGCUCCAGUUGGUAUUAGCAGAAAGCUGCAUCAGGCUUCUCUAGGUGUUCUUGGUGUGUGCGUAUAUUGCUUUUUGUAUAGAUGAGAAUAGUGAAAUAUAGAAGGGAAGUGAUGUACCCACAGUCAUGCAGACAGUUGAUGGGAGAGCCAAGGAGAAAACUCAAGUUUCAAACCUCUGGUGUAGUUCAGUCGCUUUCUUGCUAUUUGGCCCUCAUGUUUUUAUUAGCAAGGUAAUAAAGUUAUUGAGUUUGCCAUGCGUAAUUAUUGGUAAUGUUUAUGGAAUGUUCUCUGUAUGUCAGGUGCUGUUUUAGUUGCCCUACAGGUGUUAGUGAUUUUAAUCCUUACAACUACCUAAUGAGAUAGGGAAUAAUACUAUCCCAUUUUACAGAUUUUAAGCAAUGAGUCCAGUGAGCGAUGUGGUCAUUGCUACACAGCUAGUGAGUGACAGAGCUGGACUGAAGACUCAGGCAGCCUGGCUGCAGAGGUUGUGCUAUUGACUACUCCACCGCUUCUCAGCUUAAUGCCCCGAGCACAGCUUUUCAUCUCUCCCUUUGGAACCAUUGUCCAGAAUAUUUAUUAUGGUAGUGUGCUCUUGGUAGGGCUUGUAUUGAAAGAGAAAAUGCUUAUAAGUUAUUUUUCAAGAGACCAUCCGAUAAUGCUUCUUAGCUCCUUGAAAAACAGAAAACAUUCCCAUUACAGCAACACUGUAGACCACCUGCUGGAGUAUAUUUUUAGCAACUAGACUUUGCUGUCUAGCCUAGUGACACUGGUGGGCAUCUGAUUUGCCCAGGGUCAUACAGGAGCGUGAUAAAGUGGUGAUAUGAGUUGGCUCCUGGUUCAGCAUUUUGGGGUGUGUUCUGGGGGAGAAAAUAGCAAACCUCUUUGUGUGUGUCCCUUGGAUCUUUGAGAGAACAAUCAUCAUAACUCCCAUUUAUUAGGUCUGUUGGGUGCUAGAUGCUGUUGUAAGUGCUUUAUAAACAUUGUCUCAUGGAAUCUUCUCAAUAGCCCUGAAAGGCUGGCAUUACCAUCCCAUUUUACAUAUAAAGUAAGCAGUGAUUAGGGAGUGACAUUUCCAAAGCAAGUAGCAGAACCAAGGAUUAAACCUCAUCUGAAUGACUCCAAGCCAGUGCUCUUGGUCACUUGGCUAUGUCUAUACUGGGUGUCUGUACUGGACCUCUCUCUGUAUAUACUGGGUAUCUAUACUGGAGCUCACCAUUCUUCCCCAUAGACUAUGAACUCCAUAAGGGACUUUCUCCAUUGAUUCACCACCAUACUUCAGCACCUGCCAAGUACACUACCUGACACACAGUAGGUACUUAAUGCACAUACAGUCAUGUGUCAUUUAACAAUGGGGAUAGGCAGUUUUGUCAUCGUGUGAACAUCAUAGAGUGUAUAUACAUAAACCUACAUGGUAUAGCCUACUACAUCCCUAGGCGAUAUGAUAUGGCCCUAUUGCUCCUAGGCCACAAACCUGUGUGGCGUACAGUACGACUGUACUGAAUACAUUGUAACACAAUGGUAAGUGCUCAUAUAUCUAAACAUACCUAAACAUAGAAAAAGUAAAGCCCUGCAGUGUGUUACAGUGGCUACAGUGUCACUAGGCAAUAGGAAUUUUCAGCUCCAUGUAAUCUUGCGGGCCCACCAUCAUGGGUGCGGUGCACCAUUGACUGAAAUGUUAUGCUGCACAUGACUGUAUAUUGAGCGAAUAACAGACUCAUUGUGUUCUCUGUGAUCGCUUCCGAAUGGCGAGAGGGCCAGGGCCAAAGGGCACAGACCUGUGAGUGUGUUAUGGACUCAUGUGGGUUUAGCCUUCACGAUAUAUAUGAAUAUAUCAUAAUGUGUGUAUCUAGUGUGUGAAUAUAUAUCAUAACUUAUCCACUUUAUGGAUAUCAUAAUUUAUCCAUUUUAGUGAUUCCAGGACAUUUUGUCUAUCUAUGCUUUUUUUUUUUUUUUUUUUUUUUUGAAAUGGAGUCUCACUCUGUCACCCAGGCUGGAGUGCAAGUGGCACAAUCUUGGGUCACUGCAGCCUCUGCCUCCCCAGUUCAAGCGAUUCUCCUGCCUCAGCCUCCUGAGUAGCUAGGACUACAGGCACAUGCUACCACACCCGGCUAAUCUUCGUAUUUUUAGUAGAGAUGGGGUUUCACCAUGUUGCUGGUCUCAAACUCCUGACUUCAAGUGACCUGCCCGCCUCAACCUCCCAAAGUGCUGAGAUUACAGGCAUGAGCCACCGUGCCUGCCCUCUAGCUAUGCUUUAAGGCAGGCCUAUCAGCCCAGACUGGAGUCAUGUAAUACAUGGCUCUGUCAGUAGCUCUCCUUCCCACAAAUAAGUUUUGAUGAUCUUACACUCAUCCCUGCCAUUAGCAUUCAGGACCAAUCUUCUAUAGCCUAUACGCCACACUGGUCUAGGACAGCACCUAAAUAAUACUCAUGCUAUAAAAAAUUCAUCAAGUUAUAUAUUUUUAAAAACAUCCCUAAAAUUAUCUUUUUCCUUUACUGAAAAGAAUUUCAGGAUCCCCUCUCUCUCACUGCCUCUCUUCACACACACCUACCUUAGUUGGUCACCUAUUUUGUAAACAUAUCUUCUUUAAAAAAAGAAAGAAAUGGCAGUACAUGAAAAACUGCUUCGUAAACAGAAACUAUAUUAUUUAUAUUUGUAGCAUUUUUUUCCCCUUGAGGUUAAUUUCCUUUGCUUCCCAUAACUGGAAGCCAAUGAUUCAGUGCCAUUAUAUAAGCUUAUUUUCCCUCUUGGAAAUAGUAAAUUAUAAGAGGUUUGACCCAAAAAUAUACAUCAAAAUUAGGCAGUAUUCGGUGUUUAGCCUCCAUCUGCCUUGUCUUCUUGUCUUUAGUUGUGCAAGUAGAUGCUGAUGAUUUCUGGCAGAGCUAAAGUAAGUAAAUCAUGUGAAUUUAUUUUUUUUCCUCAUAAAACAGAUGGCAUGGUCUAGCUCUGGGCUUGUAUGUUUCAUGAAGUACAUGGGUCUGAGUGCGUAUUUAUUUUGUGAGCCAAGGUUUAUGCCUUCUUCUAUAAUUUUCUUUCACCGAAAAUUACCUGGAGAGCUAGAAACUCCAUUUGUGUCAGUGUAAGAAGCUUUAGAAUCUAUAUCCAGACCAAGGCCAUGGAACAAUGUAGAUUCACUCAGUAAAAACUCACUAGCGGCCUUCUUUGUACUAGUCUGUCACCUUUGCUUGGCUUUGGGAAGCUUCAAACUAGGGCAGUUUAUGUUUGGGAGUGACCAGUCAAAUAGCAAGACAGACAUAGGCAAGGAUGUAAUUUUUAAAAAUUUAAGUGGGGAAUGGUGAAGCAUGAAUCAAAACAGAAGGUAGUCUUACCUUCUUGGAACUGUAAAAUAAAUACAUUUGAAAAAGGCACCCUCUCAACCUUCUGCGAGUCAGAAUUUUUGCUGCCACCCCUCAUUUUGAAUCUCUAUUCUGCAUUUUUUAUUCUUUUUUUUAGGAAGGAGGAAGAAAAAUUUCUCCUGAAGAAUUCAUUGGAAAUUAAAAUUAACUUGCGUAUUUUGUAUUCUUUGGAAUGUGAUGAAGACUGAUUUGAAAGGGCAGUGCUGGAUUUGGUCAGGCAUAGGAAAGGAAGACAUGCAGUCGUCCUGCCUAGCUCAUCCCCGCCACGAUGGAGAAGUGGGGUUGCUUUCGUUGUACUUUUUUUCAUUUGUUUCUUGCCAAGCCCAGUGGCUUCUGUUAUAACAUGUGGCAGCUUCUCCCUUGGAGACUGAUUCAGUCCAAGUUACCAUAAUAUUUAGGACCAGCUACAGAGACGUUUCUUCCCCUAAACCCAUGCCAAAUCUAAAUCAAACUAUCUUCUUCUCCUUAGCCGUUCAAAUAGCUCCAGCUCUUAUAUAAAAAUACGAGAAAUACACAGGCCUCUUUUCGUUUUAUUCCUGUUCAAACAGAUAAACAAACAAGGCACAUCAUGCCUAGGUUGCUUUGAGCUUGAUCACUUCCUCCUAAAGCAGUCUUACGCUGUGUUGAUUUUAAGAAUUGCAACUUAGGUGUUCUAGAACAUAUUCUGAGAGCAUAGUCAUAGUCUGUGAUCUCAGAAUAUGUUUGCUUCCUUCUAGAACAUCUGAGUUCUAGAAAUUGCGUACAAUAAACUGCUGUCAGUGCUGCUGGAGGAAGGAAGAGUAACUCUGACAUCACUGGCCUUCAACAGGUGUGGCGCUGAGCUUCUGGGCCUCAGAAGCCCUGACUUCUAGAGGCUGGGGGCCAGCGGGGCAGGGAGGUGAUCUCAUCAUGGAUGGCCACAGAUCAUCCACCUGCCAAACAGUUAACCCUGAACAAGUCAUGUCAAUUUAUUUUGCUUUUAAAAAAGAAAGUCUGCAAAAUAGAAAAAAAAAAAAAAAGAUUCUUCAUAAAUACAUUUGUUCUGAUCUGUAAAUACCCUGGUCAUUUCCCCCUUGGCAUUUGAUACACAUAGUAUAGACAUAUUUUAGUCAUCCUUGCUCAAGUAAUUAUAUUCCAUAACCAACUUUAUUAGCAUAAAUUAACUUCCUCAUAUUUUUAGCAAGAGUUACUUUCCUUCAUUGCUUAGCUUAUUGUUUUGAAAUAUGAAUUACUUCAGCACAGUUCAUUUUUGUGGAUGGCAUUUCUGUCUUUUUAAUUUAUAAUUAUUUGAUAUAUACAAAAGAUGGUAUGUAACAUACAAGUAAACUCUAAAGCACAAUUUUAAAGGUGCUCCAGUGAACCACCAUCCAACUUAAGAAUUGGCUCAUUACAAAUACUUGGAGAUCUCGCUAAGUAUCUUAUUCCUAGCAUUUUCCUGCUUUCCCACUAUUCCGAAAUUUGUAUUUAUAAUUAUCCUGAUUUUUAAACAAACAUAUAUUUUUAUCACAGUGUAAUGAGUAAAUGUGUGUUGCUAAAGGUAUUUUGAGACAUAUAAAAAUAGUAUCGGACUUUGCAUGGUCUUUUUGGAACUUGAGAUUUUCCUCCAUAUAUUUGCAAAAUUCAUCCAUGUUUUCAGGAAUAGCUACAGUUCCUUCAUAUUGCCAGAAUAUUCUAGUGUGUGAAUAUAUCAUAAUUUAUCCACUAUCUUAUUUAUUGAGGGGGGGUGGGAAACAAGGAGCUCUUUUUAUAGACAUGUUGAGUCUGAGAUCUCUAUUAGAAAUCCAUUGGAAAUGAGCAGGCAGGUGGAUGCUGUUAUUCAGGAGAGAUGACUGAGAUGGAACUAACAGCGUGUAGAUGGCAUCUAAAGCAUUGUCUUCCCAACUAUUCUUAGAAUGAUGGGCCAUUUAGCCCAUCAACUGAGAUUUCUGUGUUAACAGUUUUUUGUUUUUUGUUUUUUGUUUUUUAAUUUCUUAAAGGUCUAUCUGGUGUUUUUUGUUUGUUUGCUUUUUCCCAAAUCUGCCUGGUCACUUUGUUCAAGUGUGACUUGUAAGGGAGUAAACAAGGAGAGUAUGAGCUUCAAAGAAAAUGGGGGGAAGUAUUUUGCCAGCUCUCAUGGAGUUUUGUGAGAUCCAAAAGAAAUGCUAUAUGUAAAUUUGCUUUGUAAACUGAAAAAAGUUAUGCACUCAAUUAUUAUAUUUGAUGAUGGCACCUUGUUGGGUUCUGGUUAAUGCCUCAUAUUCACUGAGUGCUUACUUUAUCUAUAUUAACACAUCUCAUCUUUAUAACAAUCUGUGAGAAGUAGGUACUGUAGAUUCAUAUUUUACAGAGGAAAGUACAGCUUAUAAAUGGUAGACCCAGGAUUUGAAUUCAUAGAGUCUGCUUCUAGAAGGUGUGUUCUUAGCUCCAGUGCUAUGCUGUCAUAUUGAUUUCCUGCCUGCCUUCUCCUUCCUUCCUUCUCCCCUCCCUCCCUCCCUUCCUUCCUUUCCUUCUUUUUUUUUUUUUUUUUUUUUUUUUUUUUUUUUUUUUUGAGACGGGGUCUCACUCUGUCACCCAGGCUGGGGUGCAGUAGCAUGACAAUAGCUCACUGUAGCCUUGACCUCCUGGGCUCAAGUGAUCCUCCUGCCUCAACUUCCUGAGUAGCUGGGACUACAGGCACAUCCCACCAUGCCUGGCUAAUUUUUAAAUGUUUUGUAGAGAUGUGGUCUCCCUAUGUUACCCAGGCUAGUCUCAAACUCCUGGACUCAAGUGAUCCUCCCACCUUGGCCUCCCAAAGUGCUGAGAUUACAGGUGUGAGCCACCACACCUGGCCAUACUGUCCUUCUUUAAAUGACAGGUUUCUUCCCACUCCUUCAGCUUCAAGAGUACAAACAUUUUAGGGUCACAUUUCAGCAUGUCCACCUUGAACCCAGCUACAAAAAUCCUACCCCAGGCAGUGGGCCCCCAGCAAAGGGCUGUGUGUGCUGACCUAGUUUCACCACCGAACCCAGCCCCAGACCUCACAGGGCACUGCUCACCUGCCAGGUGCCCACUCUGUGCUUGUUGAAGAUGGUGUCUUCUUGAUUUCACUUAUUUGCCUGAAGCCACCCAAUAAGUCAGUAGUGGGCCAGAGAAUAGAAACCAAGUCUCCUGCCUUUCAAGUGUCACAUUUGUUUUGUGUUAAUAAGCUAUAUACCUCCAGGGGAUCUGGCAGAAAUUUGAAGGUGGUUAAUUUUACUGCAAUAAAUACUUAAGAAUCCUUUUUAAAGCAAAGAAGUCAAGCCCCCGCCAGGGAAAACACAAUCUGCUCUGAGGGCCUUUGACAAACUGACAUGGGCACUAGGACUAGGUCAUGGAUCAUUGGCCCUUGAUUCUGUCUCCCACUGAGCAUCCCAAAGGGGUUGAGACCUCUGCUGGAGCCACUAGGCUUCAGCCGGACCUGGAAAUGUUCUCGCAAAUGAAACUGGAAUGCAUGAUGUCCUGGAUUCAGCGGGUCACAGCUGACUGCCAUCAGGAGGUGUGACGGAGAAGGUUCCAUUUCUGUGACCCUGUGGUGAUACAGGUCGGGACCCAGGCGAAGUAGCUCAGCCAUCUGAAUUGGCACCUUUCUGCUUUUCUCGCUGAGUGACGGGUGCCUUGCAGUUGGCUUCAGAUGUUUGUGAAUGUGCUGUGUUUCCUAAAGCCAUGUCAGUCAGGAAGAAGAUGCAGGUAUUCAGGAGAAGGGAGAAGAAAAUCUGAAUUAGAAACAACGUGAGGAUGGGGAGCACAGGGAGGGAUGGGUUACCUUUGUCAUCAGAAGAACGCCAGGCAGAUUUUAGUCCCUCAGCUAAUAAUACUAUUUGAAAAAUUGAUGGAGAAAUUUAACUGGAAGGUUUCAGCAAGACAAAAGCUGCAUCUCCAAGGCUGGACUCAGCGUGUUCACGUGGGAACUGGGUGUGAGUGUAAUUGUCAGAGGGGAGGGUUGUCACAGGAGGUGCACGAUGUGAAGUCACAAGGGGACGCAUUAUUUCCAUGAGUUCUCACAGUUCCCAGGGCAGCCACAGAUGGUAGUGGUUUAUGUCUGCCUCUGCCUUGACAGAAGGGCAGUAGGCAGUUGUGGCAAGAAAAAUGGACCAAAUGAGGGCUGCACUCAGCAGGUUAAAUUUGCUGUCUGUUAGUGUUCCUAGGUGAGAUGCUUCAAAACUAGAAUGCUCUGCUGGGACUUUUAUUUCCCUUAGAAAUAAAAGGCCAGGCGCGGUGGCUCAUGCCUAUAAUCCCAGCACUUUGGGAGGCCAAGUCGGGCAGAUCGCCUGAGGUCAGGAGUUCGAGACCAGCCUGGCCAACAUGGCAAAACCCCAUCUACUAAAAAUACAAAAAUUUGCUGGGUAUGGUGGUGGUGGGCGCCUGUAAUCCCAGCUACUUGGGAGGCUGAGGCAGGAGAAUCACUUAAACCUGGGAGAUGGAGGUUGCAGUGAGCUGAGAUCGUGCCCCACUGUACUCCAGCCUGGGAAACAGAGUGAGACUCCAUCUCCCAAAAAAAAAAAAAAAAAAGGUUCUUUGUUCACACUUUCUCUGCGCUGCUGCAAGUGACUUUGGUGCCGUUUCCUGCAGCCUGUGUCGGUGGCUGGGACUUUCUCGACAGCAAGGCAGGCCGUGCAUGAGGCCUAUAGGACCCAGGGCUGCCUCCCAAUGCUGACGGCCCUGCGCUGUGUGAGCUUGGGUAAGCCAGUUCGGCUCACUUCACCUCAGGUUCCUUGUUCCUAUGUGGACGGGUUGCUUGUUUGGAGGAUUAAUAAUGAUGGGGAAUGCAAAGUGUGGUUGGUUUUGCUGGGGAAAAGAGCAGGGAAGUAGAGACCUAGGCAGGUGAUGUCACCUCUCUGAUGAACUCCAAGGUCUCUGUCAACACCGGUGCCUUUGUCCUGACAUUGCGGGGUUUGUGGCAUGAUUGGAGAGACCUUGCGUGCUCUCUGGGCAGCCCUUGUUAGUGCCCCCCAACUAGCUGGGAGAUCCAGAGUUUCAUGAGAACCCUCCCUCCGUGACAAAAUCCGCCUUCCUCGCUGUCAGGCUCAGGUUGUCCUGUGCCCCCACUGAGCCUGCUCAUUAUUGAUUAAUGAACUUGUAAAAUGAGAAGUAUUGUUUUACCGGAAGCUACAUGUUUAUGUGGUUGGUAAAAAUGAGAAGAGUUGCUUGAGAACUGGUUCUCCUUUCCAUGAGUAUAUACAAGGUUCAAAUCUGGGCUUUGUGGUUAUAAGACAUGUUGAGUGAAUAAAAAUGAAGGAAAUGCUGGGCAUUUAUCACAAUUUUUUUUUUUUUUUUUUUUUGAGACAGGGUCUUACUCUGUCACCCAGGCUGGAGUACAGUGGCACGAUCUCGGCUCACUGCAGUCUCCACCUCCCAGGUUCAAGUGAUUCUCAUGCCUCAGCCUUCCGAGUAGCCAGGAUCACAGGCGUGGGUCACCGCACCCGGCUAAUUUUUGUAUUUUUUGUAGAGACAAGCUUUCGCCAUGUUGGUCAGGCUGGUCGAACUCCUGGCCUCAAGUGAUCCAUCCGCCUUGGCCUCCCAAAGUGCUAGGCUUACAGGCAUGAGCUGCUGCGCCUGGCCUUUCACAAUUCUUAAACUGUUGACUUACAGAAACACAGACCUGUAUGAACACACAGAUCACUUUAGAGGUCCGUCUCAGAACUACCUGCUGUCAUGAGUGAUGUACAGAUAAAAUGUGGAAGAUCUAGAAACUAGUCAUUCCUAAUCUCUGCCAUAAGUAAACAUUUUAGUUUAAUGUUAAAAGGUCACUCAGGGUUAUUGUGAGAUUUGAUGAGAUCAUGGCUACAAGGAACCUUUAACUGUAUGAAUGAAAAAUCUAAUGAAACUGCAAAGUCACUCCUAUUUACUAAAACCAGUGUAGUGGCUGUUUCUGCCUCUUUUCUUUCCCUCCUCCCUUCCCUUUUCUUCUCUGUUGUUUCUGUCACUUUCCUCUCCCUUCUACCUUAUUUUUUUCUUCCUUUCCUUCUCCUUCCUCUCUUUCUGGCAUUAGCAGUUUGUUUGUUUGUUUGUUUUUGUUUAUUUUGAGACCGAAUCUCGCUCUGUUGCCCAGGCUGGAGUACAGUAGCCCAAUCUCGGCUCACUGCAACCUCCACCUCCCGGGUUCAAGCCAUUCUCCUGCCUCAGCCUCCCGAGUAGCUGGGAUUACAGACGCCCGCCACCACACCUAGCUAAUUUUUGUAUUUUUAGUAGAGAUGGGGUUUCACGAUGUUGGCCAGGCUGGUCUCAAACUCCUGACCUCAGGUGAUCCGCCCACCUCGGCCUCCCAAAGUGCUGGGAUUACAGGUGUGAGCCCCCACACCCGGCCCUGGCAUUAGCAGUUCUUACACAAGAACAGCGUAGGCAUGAAUCCUGCCUUCAUGGCACUUACACACUAGCAGAGGAAUCUGGCAGCAAAUAAGCACACAAAGGCAGCUGCAGGGUAUGAUGUGCCGUGACGUAAAGGGACAAACACCGUGAGAGUCUAACUAAAGCCUGGCAUGUGUCAAUCCUAUGUACCUAUUCAGAAACUAGGGUUCAUGACGGUGCUUCUGUUGUUACCUAGUAGAAGUAGCUUUGUAAGCACAAAGAUUGUAGUUUUGUGAAGCUAUCUAGUACAGAGUCACUCUGGAAGUUUAGCAUUAUAGAGUUUUUUCAUAGAAAGGAUGGAUAGAUACAAGUUUUUCCUAACAAGCACAAGUGGCAGUCUUUGAAAACUAAUUUUUUAUGUGUACAUUGUAGCAUUGGAAGAUAACUGUGGUUGAGUGUGAUAAACUGAAACUUUUUAAAAAAUCUAUUAUUUUUUUUACAAGUUAAGUUAGAGCCAGAUAUGCUGAUUCUCUACCAUUUUCAAAAGAGGAAUUGGAAAAGGGAGAGCUUGUUUAUGUGGUAUUCACAAUAGUGUCUGCUCCUGAAGAAAAUUUUUGGAAAAAUCUCAUGAGUGUCCUCAGACUAAAAACAGGGAUCCAGUCUGUUGUUCAUGCAGGACUCAGGAGGCGAGCGAGCAUGUGAUACCAGGAAGGGUCCCAUCCCUGCCCUGCUGGGGAGCCCUCAGUGGCGAGGUGGCGAGUUCAGGCUUCACUUCAGAGCAUGGAUACUGCUGCAUAGGUGCUGGAAGGGUGCUGCAUGGGUGCUGGAAGCUGCUUGGCAUAGUGCAUGUCCUGUUUCCUGCCACUUGGAAAGAGGACUGUGGAAGUCAGGUCUUCCCAGUCCUCACCAGUAAAGCAAGCAACGAAUGCCUUCAGUCCAGGUAAUAUGUCCAGGCUUUAAAUUCUCUGGAUCUGUCUUUGGAUACCCUGGGAAAAGUCUUGUCUCUUCUUAGGCCCUUCUGACUAAAAGCAGCCAGGACUUUUAAACUGACUAAUUUUUAAAGAUUUCCAAAUAGAGAAAAUUAAAGCAAAAAUUUUUGAAAGCUGAAAAUGAUCUUUCCAACUUUUCUCAUUCAGAGUAGAACACUGGAGCAUUGAAAGUUUGUUCAUGUUUGUGAUUGAUCACAUAUUUAAAAAAUUGUAAAAUAAAGACCUUAUUUUAAUGUUAAAAGUUCACUUCAACACCAUCAUUUCUACGAGGUUCUAGGUCUUUUGUGAACAAAUUAAAUAUAGUGCUUUCUUUAUAACAUGAAUUAAAUCUAGAUCCCAAUGAUAUUUGGCACCUUCUAAAUACCCAGAUGGCCACUGCGUUUGCCUUGAAGUGAAGACGUGUGUAGAGUUUUAAUCACAUGUUUUAUUUUUUCUCUUUUAAAUAUCGCCUUUUCAAUAGUUGCUUGUUAAUGAAUGACUGAUUGUUUACUGCAGUUUAUAAUCAGGAAUUUGAACAUUAAAAAAUUCUAAUCAGGAUACAGGUUAAAAAACACUUUCCCUCUCAUUCUCUCUUUCCUUAUGCUAGAACAAUAAAAAUAAAUUGUCCUCCCCUUGAAAACAUAGUAGUUUAAGAAAUUUUAUCAUUCUCUUCUUGAAAACUUAAGUUUAAUAAAACAGUUCAGAGGAAACUUAAUUAUAGUUCUUAUACUAUAAAAAGCUCUUAUAAAAACAGGGGUAGGGCCACAAUAAAUUUCACCUCUUGAGCAUAACCACCACUUGAAAAAGAAAGAUGUAGUUAAAAAAUUAUUUUUGCUUUAUCUUCUCCAUUGUUUAAUGCCUGAACAUACUUGGAUUUUUUAACAGCAGGAACAAGACAGAAGACUUUGUUAGCUACCCAGGUAAGAUCAUUUGAGUCCAAAGACCAGAUUCCAGAACAGACUGCAGAUUCCUGUUGAGGACAUGGGUUGUCAGGACAGCCUGGAGGCAGAGGGGUAGAUUCUGUUGUAGGUGUCGUAAGUGACAUUUUGGAUCAGAUUUUUAACCCUCUUUUGUUUUUGAAAGUGAGUAAAUAUUCAUAGCAGAUUAUUCUCAUGAAACAAGACUGACACUAUGACCUCAGGGAAAGAGUGCUUUGGGGGGAACUGUGUAUUUAAUUAAGCAAAGAAAGAGCUGAUGAAAGGGGCUGAGUGUCUCAGAGCUGUUGUUUCUUCUGCCGAAUUUUUCCAAAUAGGAGCACAGAAGUCCUGAGAACACUGCCUCUCUAUAUGUUGUGCUCAGUCCACACACUGCCAACAAAUGUGCAUACACACACACACACAUACACACCUCAAAGACAACCCCUCCAGCCUGUGGUUUUCCUGAAUUAGCUUUCCCAAAGUACCUUGAGCACUAUGGGUUCAGACUGGGGUUUGGGUUUGGUGACAGCUGUCAGUGCUCCAAAGGCAGAGGACUGAACUUAGGGCAAAUCUGUGGCAACAGAAAGCUCUUUUCUGUUCCAUGAAAGUCAUGGAUGAUGCUUUCAGAUCCUGUCUGCAAAUUGCCCAACAUCGCAUUGAUAAUGGAAACAAAUGAUCUGACACUCACAUAGCUAAAUAUAAUUUAGAAUUUUGAUGUGAGGUUGAAACAUGAAAGAUCAUGCUUUUCAAACUGCUGUGAUGACUUACACAGACAAUUCAUUUUAGAUAAUGGUGAGUUAAGCCUGGCAGCCUCUGAGCGUUUUCCCCUCAUUUGUUCAAACACCUGCAGUUGGGUACUGAUGCACAUGUUUAAUUGCUUAAACUUAAAUUAUAAAAUCCCUAAAAGGAUGUUUUUCUCCUAGAAAAUAAGUCAGGUCUCUUGCAAAGGCUGCCUGCUUUCAUGAGCUUCUUGUAUUUCCCGGGAUGCUUAUGCGCCAGCCCCUGUUAGGUCUGCUUUUAAACACAGGAAGUUGAGCCCUUCAGGGAAAGUGCCGAUGUCUGAACCAUCAGCAAAAUCACUACACCCAUUCCCUGGGAAGUCUAGUUCAUCAGAAACAAGUUUAAUUCGGGAACUGUAGUUUAUCCAGGUUCCGUGAAGGCAAUUAGCACUGGGCAAAGGGCUGUUUGAUCAGCCUAGAGAGAGACCGCCUUUACGCCUAAAGCUCCAGUCAUUUGUCUCUACUCCCGCCGACUCGCAGCGGCCACAGAAGACAUCAGAACUGGAUGAAAAUGGCCCUGCCCCUGCGACAGAGCAGGGCGCUUCUGGCUUGCGCCUUGUUAUUUGUCCCUCCAGUGGUUCCUAGCUGUUGUGACGUCAAGGCUGCCAUUCAGAGCAGAGAAAAAGGAAACCAUGGCCUCUCUUCGCAUCAGUAGCCCGGACAAGCUGUUGUUUCUCAGGCAUCCAAAGCGCUUUCUGUCUGGCAGAGCUGUGCAUUCCAUGCCUGGGUGACCUGGUUAAAUGGAGGAAACCAAAUGCUAUCCGCUGAAUGCUCUCCAAAACAAGCACUCCGCCCUGCGCGUCUCAAGCACAGGCUUCACUGCCUCCGAGGACUGUGAAGGGAACAGCAGCACUGCCUGCAUUUGCUGCUGGCAUAUUCAGCUUCUGGUCAGGGUCUUAAAGGAGAAAAUAACAUCCUCAAUGGCCUCGAUUAAUGCACACUCACCAACGUGUUUGUGCUGCCUUUGGGGUCAGUGCUACAAAAUCCUUUUUUAAAAAAGGAUUCGGAAUCACAGUCAGAAGUUCAAAACUGCUGAACUGCCACCUCUUCCUUCCUGUCUCACUUCGGCUCACGCCAUUCCCCAAUUUCAGGUUUCUGAAUUCCAGAAAGGCUCUUGUGUAUGUGAACAUAUUAAUCUUGCACCGUGCCUUACUGAACGUGUGUAUGUUUUGCACACACAUGAGAAAGACUCACAAGUAUAAUGCGUGGAUCACAACUCUAGGAUUUUCUCAAUGAAGAGUAACACCUUAUGCUUUUCAGAGAAAAGGGGCUAUUUCACAGUGUCACAGAACUCUCCUUAGGAGCAAGCCAAGAUCUCUGUAGCAAACAUCAAUCCUGCAAGGCCAAAAGCUCACUAAUAAAGUUCUGAUCACGUAGAGUGACUGCCUAAGAAUUGACCAACUUCAGACUAAAUUUUCUGAGGACAUACCUUCUUGGGUUUCUUUCUGGCAUGAGAGACUAUUUUAUUAGAUUCUUGGAUUCAAUUAUAGUCACCAGAAAAAGCAAGGUUAUAACAACCACGCUUUGUGUUCCAGAGUUGUCUUAGUUAACUCAGUAUUCAUUUGAGGUUUUAUGUUACAAAUCCCAUUAAAUCUUUCUCAAAAUAGCCCUUCUCUGAACAUUUGAUGGAAGAAUAUUUGCAGGAACCAAAACCAUUUGAUAUAUACACCGGUAUAUGUCAGGAAGGAUCGUGAUACAGGGGUGCCUUUUAAAAGUGGGUUAUUAUACGACAGAAUUCUUCCAGGUCCCUGACUCUUGUCUUCUGAAAAAAAAAAAAGUGGAGAUCUUCAGAGGACUGGAUAAAGACAGAAUGGAUGGGGUGAAUUAUGUAAAGUUAGGAUUUAGACUGAGGGUUUACAGGGCUGCAGUCUCGUUUUGCCUCAACAGUCAGACUUGCCCAGGGUCUGGCCUAAUACCAUACAAAUGUCAUAUCCACAGUGGCAUUGAUACAGUGGUGGGAAUGGGGCAUGGGGGUGAUGAGCAUAGCUUCUUGCUGAGUGCUCUGGUCCGGGUGAGCCUGAGAUCUUGAGAGAAAAACUAGGACAUUAUUUCCAUCGUGGGCUGAAGAAUUAGUUCUGCUACUUGCAUAUCAGUUAAUCCUUUUCUUUUUUUUUUUUUUUUUUUUUGCUAUUACUACCAUUUCAGGAGGUACUUGUUAUCUGAAGAUAACUGAUACAGGACCACUACUGCUGUUUUAAGAGGAUUGACUUAAAACUGAAUCACACAUUUAAAAACAAACAGUCACUUUUUUUUUAAAGAUCUUAUUGGGACUAAGUCCUGAAAAAAAUAAAACUAAAGUUGAAGUUUAGUUUGUUUUAUAUAAUAGAAAUUUGGGAUAUGAUGCAACAGCAUGUUAUUUCUUAGAAGAAAGAUUGAAUGUUGACUUCUAAAGCAGAAUCAUAUAAAGAAGAUGAUUUUUGUACAAGCAUUCGAAUUUCCCCAAAGGCCUCUCUUAAUCUUUUGAUAUACAAACCAUUCUCUUGAAGAGUCUACCUCUCAUGUAAUCACCUCUGUUGACUUUCUCUUCAAUUGUUAACUGUUGAAACUGUCUUUCAUCUUGUCAGUGACCCUAUGUGAUUCAUGCAGUUUGCUGGUAUCAUUUUUAUCAACUGUGUGAAAAUCUGCAAUUCCACCUUACAAGUGAGCUACAUUGGAUUUUCAUUUUAUUCUAUGACAUUAUUCAACCAAGAAAGUGAGCAAGAAUAGAUGCUGAUGUUAAUGAGGACUAAUAAUAAGUGAUCACUGUGUUUGUCAAUAUUUUUAUAUGAUGAUGACCUUUGCUUCCUUAUGCAACUUGGUAACUACAGGGAUUCAGAUAAUGAUUACUCGAGUAAUGAAUCCCCACCCCCUGCCAAAUAUUAUGUUGUGUUUAAAGUACUCAGUAUGGUUUAGUGGGCUUUAUAAUCAACCACAUGUAGAUUUGGAAGCCACCCCUGACACUUCACUGAGUUCUAUAACCUUGAGUGUGCUAUUCACAGAACCUAAGAUUCUUGAUCUUUUAUGUAGAGUAACAAAACCAACCUUGCAUCCUCUAGACAUUGUAAAGUCACAGAAAAGUUUUGAGGAAUGCAGCGACAUGAAUUUUACUACAUUUUAGAAGACCACAGCUGGGGACUCUGUAUGCCCCGCAUCAGCUAAUACCAUUUGAUAGCCAUUUUUUUCAUGGCAUAGGUGAGAACACUAAGGCCCAAGGAUAUGAUGUACUUUCUUGGCAUCACAUGGUUUGGUUCUGGCACAGCCAGGCCUAGAACCCAACCUUCCUACUGCCUGCUGUGUUUCUUCACCACCCAGUUGCUCCUUGGCAAGUGAACCAAUUACAAAGGCUGUCUUACUUGUCCAAGGACAGAGAGAAAGGUGCAUCCUGGGUGACUGGAAAUGGGAGUGGGAGGGAGAGGAUGGAGGCAGCAGACAUUGAAAGUAAGUAUUGACUAGACUUGGUGACAGAAUGGCUCAGCUCGGCUCAGUGAAGAAGGGAGUCCAGAGGCCAAACUUUCAACCCUGGUGGGAUGGCUAUACAGUUAAGUAAAGUAAAAUCAGUAGAAUGGUGUUGGUUUUUUUGCUUCAUGAUGAAUUUAAAGGGACUGCCUUAUCCAGAUAGAAAUAUGUUAAAGAUAUAGGUAGGAGAGGUAGCUACCAUUAAAGAUACAGAUUUGAGAUUAAUGCCACAGAAGGAGAGCUGAAACCACUGUACUACAUAUAACCGUGUGUGUGUGUGUUGCACAUGUGCGCACACGCACUUGUGUUAAACUGGAUUUGUUGGCGUAUCUCCAAUUCAAACCUGGGUCAGGUGAUUAUGUUGUAACUUACUGCCCAGUUAUAAUCACAAACUGUUACACCUUCAUCAGAAGGAAGAGCGAGUUCCCUAGAUCAGUGUGUUUGUGUGUUUGUUUUGUUGGAUGGAUCCUGCCGAGGCACUGAGAGACAGACUUUGCUGGGCCCUGUUUUGUAAACAAAUCUGUUCACGCACGCUUUCUUCUAUCAUUGGAUGUGUACACUGGCUCUGAUUUUCCCACCCGACACGCCAAAGCCUAAGCAUUUAGAAGCUUGUUUUCUUUUAGAAGUAGGCAGGCACCAAAGAAAAACCUGCAUAUGCAUUUAAAGUGUGCACAUCUACCCUAAGUAAGUCUUUGGAUCUUUACAGUUUUAACUCUGGGCCAUGUACAGUGUAUUUCAGCCCACUACACACGGCAGACCUGCGAGACGUCCUGACAGCCCCCACAAAACUAUGGACUGAGCUUAGUGCAAAAGAGAAAGCCCUUCUUACCCUUAAAGUUCACUGCACGGGCCAUUGUGGGAUUAGUCACCCCAGAUGAUAAAACAUAAUACUGGUUUUCCUAAGUAGGGGUGAUUCAGCUUUCUCUUAGAUUGGAAUAUGAACUUAAUGUAUAUAAUACAUACAGUCACUUCCUGAACUUGUAGUUUUUUGCAUGUUUUAUUUAAUAUUCUAGCCAGGUUUAAGUUUUUAUGGCAGGAAGUAUGUGAAUGGUUAUGACAGGAGUAAAUAACAGUUGAUUUUAUGAUUACAGUACAGGAAGUAACUUUUCACACCAAAUAAAUCUUUGGGAAAAAAGUGCUGGCUUAUAAAUUUAACGUACAUAAAUUUUCCAGAAUCUUGCAUACAGUCGCCUGUGCUCUCUUAAAUGGAACUAAAUACCUGGCUGGUCUUUUUUCUUUUAACUUUUUUUUGUCAACGAAUGUCUUUGUUUUAGAAAGAGGCAUUUUCAAGUGUUUUGAUGUGACCCAACGUGACCUAAAACCAUUAAAAGAUUCUAAGCAAAAAUAAUAAGGCCAAACUUUAGUGUAAAUAGCAUGAAAGGCUUGAAAACUAAAUAAAAAAUUAUUUUUUCCUUUAAGAGUAAAUAGCUAGGCUAGGCAUGGUAGUUCAUACCUCUGAACCUGUGAACCAUUGCUUUGGGGGGCUGAGGUGAAAGGAUUGCUUGAGCCCAGAAGUUCAAGACGAGCCUGGGCAACAUAGCAAGACCCCUUCUCUAUUAAAAAAAAAAAAUAGCCAGAUGUGGCACACGCCUGUAGUCCCAACUACUCAAGAAACUGGGGCAGGAGGAUCACUUGAGCCCAGGAGUUUGAGGCUGCAGUGAGCUAUGAUCACGCCACUGUACGCCAGCCUAGGCAACAGAGCGGGGGGCUCUGUCUUAAAUGACCAAAUCAUUUUUCAUCAUUAAAGCCCGGGAAGCCUCCAAACUGCCACCGAGUCAAGUUCCUUCCAGUGACUCCUAUAGCCAUGAUCUGCAGGCACUUGGGAGGAACAGCCUGUUAACAUCAGAGAGGCUGUUGCAUGUGAACAAGUUUACAGAGAAGAGGAAAGAAUUGGAUAGAACUUCAGUUACAUUUCAUUGUAAGCAGAGCUUUAACAGAGGCUUUGUUUUUCCUUGAAUAAAAAAAUGAAUAGCGGGAAUACAAGAUUUAGAGAAGAUUUCUUUCUUCACCCUUUUCAUCUUAAAGCCUAAAGAUGUUGUAAUGAGAAAAAUAUUGUGACAUUCCUUUCUGAAGGUUACUAUUACACACACGUGAAUUAUGUGAACGAAUGGGUGGAUGCCUGGCAGAUUAAAAUGUGGAGUUCCAGAUGCAUUCAUAACCACCAUGUGGCUAUGACACAGUGGCACAUCAUUGGGCUGGGAGUGAAAGGAUGAAGGUUCAGACUUCAGCCCUGUGUCUGGGAGCCUCACCCAACCACCCUGACGGAAAACAGGAUCUCUGAAUCCCUUCUACCUCUACAACUCGGUACCACACAUUGUGCAACUAAGUAACUUGCAAGUUAUGUGAAACUGUUUUCACAGGAUCAGCAGAGUUACCACUGCUUCGUUGUCCUGAAUCUUCAUUACAUUUUUACAGACAAUAUAUUUGCAUGUGACAUGAUUAAAAAUCUACCUUGUGUUUUUAUGGUCUUUGUAGGUUUUAAGGUAGUUUCUUAUAUGCUGUUUUCCUUGCUGUGCAGCCAACCUGGGUGUUACUGGCAGACAUGCUGAGGGCAGGCUCUGGAUGUGGAGUCAAGGUCAGGCUCCCUGGCUCUGAAUCCUGGCUCAACCACCUACUGAUUGUGUAACCCUGGGCAUGUCCUUAAGCACCCAGGGCCUCAGUUUCCUUAUCUGUAGGAUGAGGAUUAAAAAUAGAACUUACCUCCAGGGCUGCUGUGAAGAUUAAACGAAUGGACGGAUGUGUAGCUUGUGGUAGCGCCUGAGCUGGCCCUGCAUGUCAGUGUGCUGUUCUCGCUGAUGAUGAAACUGGCUUAGCGAGGUUGGGUGAUAUGCAUAAGAGCAAAUUAGCAAAAAAGAUGAGCCAGAACUCAAACACGGCCUUAGGACUUCUCAGUGGCUGGUGCCCUUCCGUUGUGAGACCACUCUCUCUCCUGCCUAUAAAAGUGCCACGAAAGAGUGCGCUCCAUUUCAUUGUUUAAAAGAGAACUGAGUAAAUGUUAAACAUGAAGGUCAUUUGUCACGGGGUUUUACUUUGUUUGGAGAGGGUGGACUCUAUAACUCUUGAAUGGUGUCCACAGCAUAGCAAGGACCUGGACAGCCUCCAUGGUUUCAUCACAUUCUCAACAUCCAGCCUUAGAAAUAGCUCCCUUUAGGUCACCAAAUUAACAGGAGUUUCUAAAGGAUAGCAGCUUUUUUGCAACUGCUGCAUCUGUUAGAUUCAUGUUCUCUUUGCUCCCUUCUCCCCAAGCUUCUAUUUCAUGAUCUUUUUGUUGUUUUGCUCUACUUUUCCUCUUUUUAAAACCUCUGCAUUGGCCACCCAGGAUUUAAGAGGAGCUUUUCUGGAAAGCUGUCUGAAACAGGAACAAAUUACACAGAAACACUGAGAGCUGUGAACUUGUGUGUAUACCUGACAUAGUGGGAGAGGGGGGCUUCCUUCUAAGUAAUAGAGAAGAGUGAAUAUUCUAAUCAUUGAGUAGUGGUCAGGCCUGUAAUCACUGCUUUUUCUUUUGCUGAGCUCGGUAUCAACGGACAAGCUCAAAAAUUGUAGCUAUUUAAAAUUACUCUCCAUGUAAAGGGUUCCUGUUCCUUUGAUCCUAUCACAGACUUCCUUUUUUUCUAUUGAGGAGGUUCAUAAGAUCUCGUGGGCAAGGGCUGAGGAGAUGACUAUUGCGUAGUGUAGUUGUUUUAAAUUAAAAAUUUACCUCUAGUUAUAGGUGCUACUUUUUACUUACCCUCAAUUUGGAGAUUACAUCAUGCAGGCUGGGCACAGUGGUUCAUGCCUGUAACCCCAGUGCUUUAGGAGGCCAAGGCGGGAGAAUUGCUAAAGGCCAGGAAUUAGAGACCACCCUGGGCAACACAGCAAGGCGUCAUCUCUACCAAAAAAAAAAAAAUUAUCUGGGCAUGGUGGUACUUACCUGUAGUUUCAGCUACUCUGGAGGCUGAGAUGAAGUGAGACCCUGCCUCUAAAAUAAAUAAAUAAAUCAAUUAUGUAUAUCAGGCAAAUGAUUUCCAUACUCUUCUUGUUAAAAUAUCAGUUUGGUAAAGAUGGUAAAAGCUUAUCACAUCCCAGGAAGUCGAGGCUUCCGUGAGCCAGGAUCGCACCACUGCACUCCAGCCUGGGCGACAAGAGUGAGACCCCGUCUCAAACAAACAAAAAAAAAAAGUGAAAAUUCCCUUUCAGAAUUUCACAUCCAAAAAUGUGAAAUAAAAGAGUUGGGGUCUAAGUGGCAAAGUGCUGCCGUGUUUCAAGUUAAGGGCUUCCAUGGAUUGUGUGAUAAAUACAGGUGUGAAUGUGGGUGAUUUGUUUUAUUCUUCAGUGCCCAUUAAGUAGAAGCUUGUAUUUUCCUCCUUCCCCCUUCAAGAGCCCCCCUCCCCACCAUGCAGGCACAUGGAGGCCCCAAGUUGGAAGCACAUUCACAGCCUGAAGCUGAAGGACAGGCUCUGAAAAAUCUUUCUUUCAGCAAAACGUCUACUAAUCUCAGAAAGUGAGCUUUGUCACCAUUGAUACUCUGUAAGGUGGGAUGAAAGCAAGUUUUCUUACUCAUUUUGCCCAGUUGUCAAGAAAUGCUGCCCUUCUCUCUAACAUAAAUUAACAGGUUUGGCUACAGCCUAGAGAAAUACAAAAUGUCACAUUUUAGCCUUAGUGGCCGGUUUUCAAAGGGUGCCUGAGUGUGAACACCAUGUCGGCUGCUCUGUUAAUGUGACUGGGUCUCAUAAAUAGGUAUUUUUCUACCCCUGUGAUGGACAAAUCUGAAAAAGUUUUUUCAUCUUACAAGCCCAGAGGAUGGUAUUUAGAGGCUGAUUUUUGGUAUCUCAGUUCCUGGUAGGGAAGACGAAUUCCGUAUUUGAAAUUUGGGGACAAACAAAAAUAAUUCUUUCUCUUUCCUUGAAGGGUUAAUGCUCCAACCAGCCUCAGAUUGGUUCGCUUGAAUCUUAAAAUUACUUUUCUGGUCACGCGCACCGAAGGUCUAAGCAUUUGUGAAAUGUCUUUUUUUUUUUUCUUUCCUCUUGAUGCUGUUCUCUUUGGGCUGUCUUAAUUACACAGGGGUUGAGAAACCAAAUUAAAAUUAGGCGUGUCUGGUCAACAGUGAUCACGUUGCAUGCUUUUAGCUUUGCUUGUUGAAGUUGCUUCUCCUCCCCGAGUGGCUUUCCUCCCCACAAUUUUUUUUUUUUGAAGGAAAUAUCAUAAGCUCUUUCAGAAAUACUCACAGGAAGUGAGAGUCCGUAUGCUGGUUACUCACCAGCAACUGAGUGUUGGCAGGUGGAGAAUGCUACCGCAGCCCGCCCAGACGGAUCUGCAGACUGGCCCCAUCGCAGAGGAUUAGACAGAGGGUGCAUGGAUCAUAGGGUUUUUGAACAGAAGGGAGUUUUAAGAGGAAAUUGGUCACUGCGUGUCAUCUCGAGGGGUGGUGAUUCAGGGAGCAGGGCUGGGGGUCAGAAGGCACGUGGCUGCCAUCUCAGAGGUUGCUGCUCACUUCUCAGAGGGCAGGCUGGCUUCUAAAAAUCAACGCUCCCUCCACCCCCAAACAGCGAUUCUUCUGCAGUGAAUCACUUCCAGAAAUGAAUAGCCACAGUUUUUUGGAAUGAACGUUGUGAAAUCCCUCCUUUAUAAUGGCAGGUUUUCAGUUGGUGGUUUUAUCAGAAUUUCUCAAGAUCAAAACGAAACCUUCUCUUUAAAAAGGAAAGAAAGUACUAUCGAUACAGAAAGCAAAAGUAUUUCCAGUCUCCUACUGAACUGUCACGGCAGACCUCUCUGUAUCUAUAUUUAGAGCUGUAUGUCCAUAUAUUUGCCUGAAUGUGUGAGUUCUUGGAAGUAUGGAUUCAUUGCCAGGAGCUGGUGAUUUCCUAAGCAGAGGUCGCUAACUACAAGAAAUGUUACACUCGGUGAGUAGGUGGUACUUUCUGAAGAUUAUUGGUAACCCAGUGUUGGUCGUCUUGAGUCAUGGAUUUAAAUGACGGCUAGCAAGCUCUUAAACACCUUCUGCUUUAUAUGAUACAGAGUAUGGAACUGCAGGACGCACAGACAACUGUGAAGGGUUUUUAAGAAUAUGGAUUCAUUGAAUAAUCAGUGAAUCUUGUGAAUAUACUAGACCUUUGGAGGAGGAAAGGGUGUUUUACAGAAGGAAGUGGUUUGUGGGGGCUUUUAAAGGUACAGUUAUCGCUUUUCUAUAUUUAUUUUCAGCAUCAUUCAGUCCUCCUAUAUGAAAGAAAGAAAUGGUCUCGAUAGAGAAAAAGUUAUGCUGACUCUUUAAAUGAAGAAACUUGAUCCUCAUGUUACUCUUAACUGGACUUUUUUCCUCCUAAAUAUUCAUAAGGGAAACUAUCCCAUGAAGGCAACUAACUUUCUGGCAAUCUCUAUGAUGUGUCUAAUUCAGAACCCGGUGGGCUCUCCAUGCAUUAUUGGCAGCACUUUUAUCCAGGGGCACAGACAGGGAAUAGGGUUACUGGAAACAGGGAGUGUAGCUCAAGGAAUUGUUCUCUCUCUGGAGUGGAUAAGUUGUUUGACCUACUGACUCAUUUCAUAGGAAUUAGGAAAACAACCUAGUGUGGUUUUUAUUGUUAGUCCUGGAGGAUUCCAAAAUCUGUGUGCCUGCAAAUAAGAUGAGCUGGGGAAAGGGAGCACCAGCAUUUGGUGUUUCUACUUGCCUCUUUUCCUGAUGGAAUCCAAUCCUCUGCUUCCAGGACAAGUCCUGCGCUUGGGGAUCCUCUGUACGCCCGUUCACUGGUGAGUAUGUAUGACAGCAAUUUCUGAUUUCACUAGUUCUUGCUUCUAACACCUAAAUGGUGCUUUGUCUAGGGAAACGCUUUAAAGAGCAUUUUCCCCCAGUACGUUUAUAAUACAUUUCAUAUUUACCUCCAGAAAAUACUGUGGAUGUGAUAAUAAUUAUAAAAGACAACCCACAGACAACAAUGAAAGUUAAGAAUUAAGAUAUAUUCUGAUAGAUUUUUGCAGCAUAUUGACAUAAAGGCAGUUUUGGUUUUGACAUAUGUACACUAAAAUGAUAUCUGUAAUGCUAUUAAAACUCAAGUGUACAAGGCACCAGUAUAUUCUGGCAAAAAUAAUAUAAUGAUCAACAGUUAAUGAAAGACUUGUGCUUUGAGCUUCUAACAAAAUGUUAAUAUGUAGAGAAUCUUGUGAUUCAUGAUGCUUUGGUUCUCAACCAGGGUUAUCAAAUAAGCUAAAAGUAUCAGAAGAGGACAAAGAAAGUACGUAAAACAUGGAUAAAAGCAGAAACCGAGAAAAGAUAGCUUUGAUAUUUAAAGUGUUAGAUUAUGGCCUCUAUAUAAUGUCAUAUAUGCCAGAUCCCCCCCCAAAAUCACACCCUCAAAUUAUGAUCUUCAUUAUUCAAAAGAUGUUUGGCGUGUUGGUGGUACAGUGGUGAGCGUAGUUGCCUUCCAGAAGAUGGUUGGUGUAUAAUUACUAUAGAAUUUCUUGCUCUCUUGGGAGGUGGCUUAGUAGAAGGUUGAGUCAGGCAAGCUGGGGCUGUUUAUUCAGUGUGCUGUGCUGUGCUGUGCUGUGCUGUGCUGUGCUGUGCUGUGCUGUGCUGUGUCUGAAUGCCUGGGAGUUUGCGUUGUUAACCUUUCCAGGGUGCUAGAUCCCUUUGAGAUUAUGAUGGAAGCCAUGAAUCCUUUUCCCACACCUGUAUGCAAACAUGUGCCUGCCCAUUUACAGACCCAAAGAAGGACAUCCAUGUACCCCACGUUAAGAAGGCUGCCCUGGACUAAGCCCUCACUGUGACUCUGCUGUUCUUAAGCUUCCCAGGAAACACUGUUAUGUAAAAAGACGAGCCAUCCAGGUCAAAAAGAAGUCAUUGUGGUUGCUAGGUGGGGGUGCAAAGCCAAAGACAAAGGGUGGGGAAAAUACAUGACUAAUAAUAAAUAAAGAGCAUGGUUAAUACCAGAGUCUCCAAACUGAUAGCCCAGAAUCCCUCAACAUGUAGCCACGAGUAUUUGUAAAGUACGUUGUGAAUUCAGGUAGAGGGCCGAAGACUCAAUAUUAAGCAGUUGGGCAGAGUUUUCAUACAUAUAUUUGUCUCUGCCUUUUGCACAAUAUAAAACUAUGAAAUCUCUUUUCAUUUUUCUAUUGUGCACGCUACCACAUUAGGUAGGAAUCAAAAUCAUCUCAACUCCAGAAGUAUAAUUCAUAACAAUUAUAACAAAGCAGAAAAAUGAUUCUACAUUAGCAGAAGAAAUGUAGUAGGAAUAGAUUUAAAAUAGCAUGGUUGAGUACAAAAGAAACAUCGUUUUUUAAAAAAUGGCAGCCUUUAUCACUCAUCAGCUAAACUUAAAGUCAAUGCUGUGAGGCUGUUGCGGGAAAAAAAUAGUCAUGAUUCUUGGGUGUAUUAAAAGGAGUAUGACAUAGAAGGGUAAGAAAACAAGACGUAGUGUGUUUGUCAGACUCAUCAUUGUGUCCUGUUUGAGUCACACUUAAAAAAAGAAUUUGGACAAUUGUGAAAAGCUGAUACACAAGCAACAGAAAUUACACGCCCUUCCAGGAAAAGAUAAGGCAACUGAGGAUUUUAUUCCACACAAGGCUGGAGGAUUUUUUGCUAAUGGCCUUUAAGUAGUAACAGUCUGGUUUAUCCUUAUAUUCCUAGGGCCUUCCGCUCUGCCUGGUGCACAGUACUUGAGAUGAUCGUUGUGUUUAGUGAUAAUGAGUAAGGUUCCUGUGAGAGACUUAGCAGGAGUAAGUAGGUUCAAAUAAAACCAGCGAUAGUGUCAUGACAGACGGUAUAUAAUACAUGAAUUUGCUGGGUGAUUAAUACAUAAGGAUGACUGUCUCACUUGUGAGGAUGAUAUAAUACUUCAGCAGCUAACUGGGGGAAGCUACAAAAUCUUGGUUUGAUACCUCUUUCAGGAUGAAAGCAGAUAAGUCUGCUGGGGUGGUGGAAACAUUCAUUCAUUCAUUCUACAAACCCUGAGGGCCUACUUGGCUAGGUGCUCACGGUCUGGUAGAGGAGACAAAGAUACAAAAACAGAGUCACAGUGUGUAAUGAGUGCCAUGGGAGCAUAAAAACAGCAUGCGCAGGGCUUGUGACACUCAACCGCCACCCCGCGCAGCUUCCAAUGGAGGCAAAGUCACAAUUGACCCCAAUAGACAGGCUUGACAGAGUUAGUUGGAUGGGAGGCAGGUGGGGCAGCCUGUCCAGAGGCGCAGACCUGUGUGUGUGGGGAAGGGGUGAUGGGAGAUGCAGACUCGGCAGUGCUUGUUAACAGAGGUGUGAAUGCCGCGCCUUGCUUGCCUGAAGAUUUCCACCCAGGAUCCUGACAAAAGUCAGAUGUGCACUUCAGAAAGGCCAGGCGGGCUGCAGUGAAGAGAAUGACUCGAGGGGGUGCGGGUGUGGGACAGGCCAUCGAGGCAAGGAGGCCAAAUGGAAAGCUUUGGUCAGGACACAGGUGGUGAUGGAUUCGGGGGAGAAAUGGGGGAGGGUGACGCAGGCAGAGUGGCCAGGGUUAUCAAGUGGCAUCAUUCACCACAAAAUGCAGUCCAAGAGGAAGCCCAGCUGUGAGGGGGGGACAGGUGGGGCCCAGGUGUGAGGGGGGAUAGGUGGCAUUCAGACAUGUCAGUACACAGAGUCAAUGGCAGAGACAGAGCCAGUGGGCAGUUGCACCAUGUGGAUAAGGACUUGAGUGAGACCUGUCUCCAAAGCAGGGGAUCACUCUUCUAAUUUUUUAUAUGGUGUUUUUCAUUCUAUUCUGACUCAUUUGUAAUAAAACCUCCUUUGUUUUUUAUCAUAUAUAUUUCAGGUGUCAACAUGCUGGUUUGAUAUAACAUGUACAAAGCAAAAUAAUAACUUACACUCCAGCUGUGAGUGUACCAUCUCACAGUUACCUUUUUGUGCAUGUGUGUUAAGCCCACCUAAAAUGCACUUAGAAAUAUUCAGUAUCUUCACUGUGGUCAUGCUGUACUGCAGAUCUCUAGAUGUAUUCGUCUGACAUCAUUCCAGCUUUAUACCCUUUGACCCACAUCUCCCCAUCCCCCCAACCACCUCUCUCUGUUUCUAUGGACUGUAUUUGACUAUUUUAGAUUCCACAUAUUACCUCUAAUCCUCAAAGCUCUAUUAGGGUUUUGUGUAUUUCCUUCCAGCAUUUUCCUACAUACACACAAUUUGCAGAAUCAGCAUAAUUCUGUAUAGGUACUUUAUUUAUUUAUUUAUUUUGAGAUGGAGUUUCGCUCUUGUUGCCCAAGCUGGAGUGCAGUGGCACAAUCUCGGCUCAAUGCAACCUCUGCCUCCUGGGUUCAAGCAAUUCUCCUGCCUCAGCCUCCCAAUUAGCUUGGAUUACAGGCACGCGCCACCACGCCCAGGUAGUUGUGUAUUUUUAGUACAGACGGGGUUUCACCCUAUUGGUCAGGCUGGUCUCGAACUCCUGACCUCAGGUGAUCCACCCACCUCGGCCUCCCAAGGUGCUGGGAUUACAGGUGUGAGCCACCACGCCCAGCCUGUAUAGACACUUUCCUCUUUUUUUUUUUUUUUUUUUGAGACGGAGCCUUGCUCUGUCACCCAGGCUGGAGUGCAGUGGCGCAGUCUCGGCUCACUGCAAACUCCACCUCCCGGGUUCAUGCCAUUCUCCUGCCUCAGCCUCCCAAGUAGCUAAGACUACAGGUGCCCGCCACCACGCCCGGCUAAUUUUUUGUAUUUUUAGUAGAGACGGGGUUUUACCAUGUUAGCCAGGAUGGUCUCGAUCUCCUGACCUCGUGAUCUGCCCGUCUCGGCCUCCCAAAGUGCUGGGAUUACAGGCUUGAGCCACCAUGCCCGGCCUGUAUAGACACUUUCUAUCCCACUUUUAAAACAGGCAUGUUCUCCCUAUGCUUUAAAAUGCCUUUAAAAUAUUUCUAAUGGUGCUAAUUCUCUAAUUUGGGAGUGUCUAAUUUGCUUCCAGUUUUUAAAAACUAUUUUUUAUUAUAGUAAUUAACCUUUUAAAUACAUGAAUCUUGGGCAUAUUUUUAAUGAUUUCCUUAGGAGAGAUUCCUUACAGUGAAUUUCUUGAGUAAAAGGAGGUUAACUGUAAGAUUCUUGAUAUACCUUGCUAAAUUGUUUUCUAGAAAGCUUGAACCAAGUUCUGCACAUUUUAGCAAAGUAUGAAAUGUCCUUCUCUCCAUAUCUUCAUCAGCAUUGAGUGUUCUCUCUUUUUUAUCUUUAGACAAAAAGGUUACAUUCUUUUUGGUUCAUCUACUCAGAAGCUAUUUAAUGAAUGUUCACUCCAUGUCAGGCAUGUGGCAUGUUUUCAUCUCUACCAGUAACGCUGAACUUUCUUCUUGUGUGCAUCAGCCUGUUGUUUUCUUUUGUAAAUGUUCUGUUCGUGUCCAUUAUCAACUUUUCUACUAGGGUGUGACUGUUUCUAUGAUAUAUUUAUAACGAUGUGUGUGUGUGUGUGUGUGUGUAUACGAUAUUUGGGGUAAAUACUUUUCCCAGCUUCUUUGACUUUUAAUUUUGCUUAUACUUUAUUGGAAAUACAGAACCUUUAUUUUAUUAUUAUUAUUAUACUUUAAGUUCUGGGAUACAUGGGCAGAACGUGCAGGUUUGUUACAUAGGUAUAAACGUGCCAUGGUGGUUUGCUGCACCCAUCAAACCACCAUCUACAUUAGGUAUUUCUCCUAAUGCUAUCCCUCCCAUAGUCCGCCACCCACCAACAGGCCCUGGUGUGUGAUGUUCUGCUCCCUGUGUCCAUGUGUUCUCAUGAGAACCUUUAUAUUUUAUGUAGUGGAGUAAGUUAUUUUAUCUUUUUUUUUUUCCUGUGUAACUUCUGUUACCUCAGGCUUAGGAAUUCCUUCCUACCCAGAAGUUAGAAAAUAUUCAUCUAUUUUUUUUUAAAGUUUCAUUUUUAACAUUAAACUCACCAAAUUAGAAGUAAGAUGUGGCCAGGCACAGUGGCUCACACCUGUAAUCUCAGUGCUUUGCGGGGGCUAAGGUGGAAAAAUCACUUGAGGCUAGGAGUUCAAGACAAGCCUGGGUAACACAGUGAGACCCCACCUCUACCAAAAAAUUUAAAAAUUAGGCAGGCAUGGUAGCAUGUGUCUGUAGUCCUAGCUGCUUGGGAGGCUGAGGUGGGAGGAUCACUUCAGCCCAGAAGCUUGAGGCUGUAGUUAGCUAUUAUCAUGCUAUUGCAUUCCAGCCUAGGCAACAGAGCAAGAACCCUGUGUCUUUAAAAAAAAAAAAAAAAAAAGUGUGAAACAAAGAUCCAAAUGGACUUUGUUUCACAAAGUAAAUCCCCCAUCAUGUUUUGAGUCAUGUAUCUUUCCCUAUUUAAUUUGUGGUGCUUCCUUUAUUUUAUAUUUCAAGACUUUUUGCUAUUAUAUCCAGCGGUAGGAGCCCAUGAACUUGUUGGAUAUUGGUAUGCACAGAAGAUGCGGUAAUACUUUUUUCCAAUAUUUUAUUAUGAAAAAUACACUGGCUAGAUUCUAUAAUUAAUAUUCUGUCACUUUACCAUCUAUUCACGUAAUAAUUCUUAAACUUCUCAAAUCAUUAUUUGAAUUUCAAAGUGGACUAUCAAAGACAUUUUCUCUAACCCUAUUUUUCUCUAAUUUGCAGUUUUGAUUUCCAGGAAGCCUUUAGCAAUUUAUAUUGUUAGUACAGUAAGAGAGUAAACAACACACUAAAAUACCAAGAGAAACUACUUUCCAAAACAUGUUUUAGUCGUUUAACUUUAUGAAUAUGGCUAGCAAGGGGGCUUCCUGGGGGACAGUGCUGGGGAAAGAGCAGGCCCUAGGAAUGGGCUUUGAAAGAAGACUUUUGCCACCGUCAGGUCACAUUUGCAAGAGGCCAUCGUCGUGGUCUGCCAGGGAACCCUUAGCAGAAAGGCUGCUUUGCCCAGGAUCUGGCUUGCCGCCCCAGACCAGCCCUACCGCUGUCUGGCAUUGAAUGUCCCUGGUCCGCAGUGAGUGGCCAGUUGCAUAGACCUUAGAUCAAGGAGCUUAGUCACCUCUUUCCAGCCUAAAUCAUGAGCACCCUAAAUUCCCAUGGGUUGUUGAGACCUAAUAGCAUCCUGGCUUAGAGAUGGGAUUGCAGCUGGGUCUGCACAGGAAACUGGCCUACUGUGUCUGCCUCUUGGUGCAGCAUACAACCAGCCACAUGGAAAAACCCAGCCUGCAAUAAAAGACUUGCUUUGGUCACCACCUGACAUUAGCUGUGGUUUAAUCUGUGUAAUGUUUUUCUUCCCCCCCAUCUAAGCCUCAAUUUCCUAUCCAUAAAAUAUGUUGGUUUUGGCCAGGCGUGGUGGCUCACGCCUGUAAUCCCAACACUUUGGGAGGCCAAGAUGGCCUGAUCGCCUGAGGUCAGAAGUUCAAGACCAGCCUGGGCAACAUGGCAAGACCCCCCCCCUCUACUAAAAAUACAAAAAACUAGCUGGGCGUCAUGGCACAUGCCUGUAAUCCCCGCUACUUGGGAGGCUGGGGCAGGAGGCAGGACAAUCGCUUGAACCCGACAGGCAGAGGUUGCAGUGAGCCGAGAUCGUGCCACUGCAACUCUAGACUGGGCCAUGAGCGAGACUCUUUCUCAAAAAAAAAAAAAAGUUGGUUUUAUUAGAUUACAGAGAAUACUUUCUCUAUCCAAAAUCUGUGAUUUUAAUCUAGAACACUGAAUGUAGGUCAGUAUCCACCCCAUUUUCAGAAAUCUGGGAAGAUCUUUUUUUGUUUUUCAGCUUCUCAGAAUAAAUACUUUCUAGGAUGUUACAAACAUGGAUGAAGUUCACCAGAACAGAUCCAGGGUUAACCUUUUAAAGUCAUUAGAUAUGGCUCCAGUAAAAGGCAUGAGAAGGCACCCGUGAGACCCUGCAGAGGAAGCCUCACUCCUGGGCAGCCUUACGGCUGACGAGCUACCUUACUGAGCAUAUUCCUGCCUCUACACCAGAGACUCACUCUGUGGUCCGGUGUCACCUCGAUUCUAAAUUCCCUGCUUCCUGGUGAAUGAUGCUAUCACACUUUAGAAACCUGGCCAAUAAAUGCUUUGAAAUUUAAGGAUAGCUAUCCUGAAAAAAUUUAAUAUAACCUAAAUUGAUAGUCUAAUGACAUCAGUAUUCAGAAGAGGCAUUCUAUUUCAGCAAGUGGUUUUCAGAAAAAAAAAAAAAAUAAAUAACCUGAGUUUUUCCCCUGCCACUCUCCCCUCUUGCUUUUAUGCUGCAAAAAGAGCUUGUGGCUUGCCUGACACACCGUGUUGUUCUCUGCCUUCGAAGAUCUAGCUCCCUCAGCCUCCCCACGUUGUCCACCUCUCCAAUACCAUUGCUCCACUGGGAAGCUGGCCCGGAGGUGCUCUACCACGUUCAUCUCUCGCAGCCCAGGGCUGUCUUUAACGUUACAGAGACACAGAUAUCAAAGUGUUGCAAUUUAUUUGGCUUUCAUUAAUUUGCCGGAAGCAAGGGAGGGUAGAUACAAAGUACUCCUCUAACCUGUUAUUUUCCUUGCUGUUAAAAUGUAAAGAAGACUGAUGUAAGAAUCUCUGCCUUCCACCAGUCAUAACCAUGGUAUGCACAGAGCUUAUGAAUCAUCUUCUAAAUUCACAGCUAGUUUUAAAAUUUAGCUUCCAGGCUAGAUCUGCAGGAAAUGAUUGGGAGAUCGUAAGUGCUAUGGAGUGAAUAUGAAGUUACUUACCAGAUCCCAUAAAGUUAGCUCAGGGAAUCCUGAGGAAGGUGUCACUCAGAAAGCUGCUUUCAAAGCUGAGUCAGACCUGCAUGGUGUUUAUUACCUCCAUUGUGUUACCAUGCCAAACAUAUAAAUAGCUUCAAAGUGAGUUCAGAUUAAAACACAGAAAAAUCUUUGGAUAUAUUCACAGGCCAGUGGGGGUCAUGUAACAAGUCAGCAAGGAAAAUAAAAGAUAUUUGAGGUACAGCCUCAACUUUUUAAGAUGGAUCUUGAAUAAAAAGGUCUAAUGAAAUAUUUUAUGGUAUUGCUCUCUGGGAUUUAAAAAAACAAAGCAAAACAAAAAAACGAGGGCACUGGAACAAUGUUUUAGAUAGAUCACGGGUGUUUUCCAGUAUGCAUUUUUAGUGCACUUACUUAACUGAGAGCCCUCUCAUAUGAAACUGGAAUGUCACCACCAUGUGAUAAAGCGUAGACUAGCUGUGACCUAAUACGUACUGAUCAUGACUAACGCAGAAGUCCAGGUCACUGCGGUUGUAUUUCCUGUGGCCUCAAUGUUCUGGGGUUAGGGUUAACAGGGAUAAUUCAUUUCUGUGUUCAAGUCUCUAAUUCUUCCAUCAUGUAAACUGUAAGUGGGAGCAGACUGGAUUCAGCAUUGCUACAAGAGAAAAACAACAAAUAGGAACACCACCAACACCAUGUGUUGGGAGCCCCAUGUGCCAGGCACUGUGCCAAAUACUCGAUAUUGAUUAUCUCUUUUAAUACACAAUCCUGUGUGGCAGAUCCUACUAUGAGACCCAUUUUACAGAUAGACAACUGAGGCUGGGGGAAGUUGGAAAUGGAGGAGCCAGGAUUCAAGUCACAGCAGUCUGGCUCCUGCGCCCAAGCUUUUAAUUUGUAUCCUAUUCACUUUUCAUAAAUAAAUGACUCGUGUUGGAGGUGUUUGUAUCCUUGGGGCCACUCAGUUUUAUUCAGCCAGCUUUCCUUGGUUGUGGUUUUAAUGUGUUAGGGAAGAAUGAAUGUAUUCCCCACAGCUGGGCAUCUUUGUGCUGGAUCACCUGGCCACAGCUCAUGAAUAGUGCAGAUUAUCACACCCCACCCCCAUGACUCCAGCAAAUGUGCUGUGGGUAUAGGAGAGUAUGUUCAAAAAAGGCAAUUAACAAAGCAACUGUCCCAACUACCAAGAAAAACAAAUGUGGCAUAACCCAUGAUAGAACCCUCUUUUUUCCUUAUUAGACAUGAAUAGAAGCUCAUUAAUGCCGUCCAGUAAGUUCAAGCCGCAUAACUUACAUACACUGUCAGGACCCAGAAAGAAACCUGUUGUCUUGUGAUGUUAUUGUUGCUUGGUUGACCUCAUCAUGUCUUGACAGGGCUCAAGACACCCUUCAUGAUCUGGUCUUACCUCUCAGGACUCCCCCCAUCCUUACCAUUGUUUGUUGAUCUCUGGUGCAGCCAAAUGAAGCCCAUCAUGCUUGUCCUCUGCCUGGAAGCUCUUCCUUCCCUCUUCCUGGCCAAUGGCUACUGUCCCUUCAGAGCACCUGUUCAGAUGAAACCUCCACCAGGCAGCCUCUGCUGACUCCUAAGGGCUGGGCUAGGUGCCCCUUGGGUGCUUCCACAGCCCUUUCUGCUUACCCAGUUGUACAUGUGUCAUACUGUGUUCUGUAAUUCCUCUUUUUGUCCAUCUUCCCUGGCUUGCAUUGACCCCUUAAAAGCCAUGAUUAGGGCCGGGCGCCGUGGCUCACGCCUGUAAUCUCAGCACUUUGGGAGGCCGAGGCAAGUGGAUCACAAGGUCAGAUCGAGACCAUCCUGGCUAACGUGGUGAAACCCCAUCUACUAAAAAUACUAAAAUUAGCUGGGUGUGGUGGCACACGCCUGUAGUCCCAGCUCCUCGGGAGGCUGGGGCAGGAGAAUUGCUUGAACCCGGGAGGCGGAGGUUGCAGUGAGCAGAGAUUGCGCCACUGCACUCCAACCUGGGCAACAGAGCGAGACUCCGUCUCAAAAUAAAACAAAACAAAAUCAUGAUGCCAUGAUCAGUGUUUACUUUUGGAUAAACACCCGGACACAUGAUAGAGAAUAAAUGUUUGAGAGAGAGAAAUGACCUACUGGGUAACACCAAAAACUAAUGUAUACCAUGUCUAGUGUUUACAGUUUACAAGAUGCUUUCACACACAUAACUUCAUUUGAUCCUCCCGGCAACUCUGCAAAAUAGAUUUCUGCAGCCCUGUUGUACUGACCAGGAAACAUCAGCCUGCCCUGAUGGCAGGGAUGUGGUUAGCAGGUGGAAAGCCAGGACUCAGGCUCAGGUCUUCGAACCCAGAUUUUAUGCCCUAUGUACCGCCAUGUGGAUAUUCUCAAGGCAACUCUCUGAAAUAUUUCCAGAAUCUUUCACAAAAGUCCUGUGUCGUCCUUGUCCUGGCCAACUAGACUCAGAGGGAGGACUGAUGGAUUUUCAUCUCCCUCUUCCCCUUCGUCUUUUCUUCUCAGCAUCUUCCUACCCUCCCCACCACCGCGCUUCUCCACCAAAAGUCUGAUGCUGGCAUGUAAUGGACCCUUUCCAAGUUUCAAGGUGUUGACAGUAAAUCUUUUGUAUUUAGACCGGGCCGGCUGCUUUCCUUUUCUUGUGGGUAGAACUCUGGAAAAGUGGAGGGGGGUGGGUGGGGCUUCAGGUAAAGUACGUCAGCAAAUUGGAUAAGUCGGAUCUUCGUUGUGUGAGUGGGUAAGAGAUGAACUGGGGGGAGGGGUGUGUGUUUGGGCAGUGAGCAAGCCGGCAAGAGAAUGUGAGUGGGCGGCCAGUUGGUUGGCAAGUGAGAGGCUGUGGAGAGGUUGCUGCUGGGACGGGCUGUGCAAUUAAACAGUUGAGCAGAUCUUAAUAGCAGACUGGGGCGGUGCUCUCCGCAGGCCUGCGGGGAGCAGGGAGCAGGGGAAGCAAGCGAGCUGGAAGCAUCUUCGGGCACAGAGCUAGAUACGAAUUUCAGAAGCACAUAACCUGAGGAAUAGAAUGCAACCAGAGGAGGGAGAAAUAGAGAUUCCAGGCAGCGUUUCCUAAACUUAAAAAGUUUUGAAUACCCAGUUUUGCCUUGUUCUGGGGACCUCUGGCAAUGUUGUUCAAGGGAGGAAUUUUUAAUUUCAUAGAAAAGUGAAUUUUACCACCACAAGAGAACAUGAGACCAAGGUCAUAAAUCCCUUUGUUUGGAGUGUCCGUUCUGAACUCCUUGUAUACUUUUAUUUGCAGGAAGAGGCUAUACCAGCAAGUAUUAUGGUUUUACUGGGUGGGGCGGCAAGGCCAGGAAGAGAUGGAGAUGCUGUUAAAGGUCCUUGCUCCAGAACAUUCAGAGAUCAGAGGAACUCAAGAGGUCAAAGUAGGCUGAUGUCAUUGUUCAUCCAUUUAUUCAGCAAAACUUUCUUGAACACCUACUGUGUGCCAGGCACUGGUUGGCAGUGAGGUGAAGACGAUAGUGAUGAAAACAAAGGCAUGGUCUCUGUCAUCAUGGAACCUAAGUAAACACAUACCAAAAAAAAUGGCCCAAGAAAAAUCAUGCCCUGAGGGGAAGGCACUCAGAUGAAAAGGACCUUCUUCCCAGUGGUCCCCUGAGGAGGUGAUUUCCAAGGUCUCAGCUAAGGGAUGAGCAGGAAUGUGUGGGUGCAGGGGGUAGGGGUGAGAGCUCUCGGCAUAGAGAGAGCAGCACAUUUCAAAGGCCCUGGAGUGGGGAAGGAGGUGGCAGGUGCAGCUGUGUGGUGGCUACUUCCACUUCUGGAGUGCAGUAGCAUGAUCUCGACUCACUGCAACCUCUGCCUCCCGGGUUCAAGCAAUUCUCCUGCCACAGUUUCCCAAGUAGCUGAGAUUAUAGGUGCAAGCCACCACGCCUCGCUGAUUAUUACAUUUUUAGUAGAGACGGGGUUUUACCAUGUUGGCCAGGCUGGUCUCGAACUCUGUCUCCUGGAACCUCUUGAUGAGCCCCUGUGAGGUUCCCCAGCCCAGGGCAUCCCCCCAGGUAUUCAGGAGAGACCCGUCCCCAAGAGACUGCCUGCUACUUCCUCUUCCUAUGAAUGUCACUGUGAGGGGAAUAAAUAAGGAUAGACCAGAAAAGCAAAUUGUAAGAAAUUUGAAACCAGUUGUCAGUUUUCAGGUGCCCAGGAGCAUGACAAUAUGCCCGAGGGACCGUAACAGGACUUGACAUGGAGCUGGGUCUAAAGCAGAUGACCUGGUGGCUGCAGCGUGUUCCACACAGGCGAGCACUGUGAGGCCAAAGGACUGGUGUUGAGCAGAAUGAAAAAGCACAGUGUUGGUUAAUCCUGAAAAGUGAAGCCUGCAAGAAAUGAACUUCGACCUUGGAGUGGGGGUGGGACAGGGGCUAGAAGGAAGAGAGGCUCGGAAGUGUGUUGUGUAAACGUGGUUCUGUUUUGUCUAAUCUUUUACUACCUGUAGGGACAGGUGGAUGCAGUGGAGCUGCUGGCAGGAAAGGUGGAGUUUUUUCAAGGUCACGAGUUAAGCAAUAGAGUAGAAUAUCUUUGCAGCUGCAAGAGGAGGUGCGAGCAGCUUGUUCACAAGGUAUAUUUUGCAGGAGUUUCCCCUUACAAGAUCUUAUUUGCUUGAGAGUAGCGUUAAGGAUUUCUGUGCCAACAGUUAGCUGGAUCUCUGGGGUUGAAUCGUUAUCACCAAUCUAUAGUUAAAAUAAGCAUUAAAAAAAAAAAGGAGUCUACUUUCAAAGUUUUCCCGAAGUGCCAGUCUGAAGCAGCUACCUUUAAAAGCUGUUCUUGAAUAAUAGGUUGCUAUAUCCUAGUCUGUAAUCUUGGACUAAUGUCUGAGGAAGGAAAAAAAAAAAAAGAAUAUUCUCUCUUUGUCCGAUUAAGAAGUGGAGGUAGACAGCGAUUCGACAUGUUGUAUGGGCGAGGCUGUGCUGAGCUUGCGUCUGGGACAAUGACCAGACAGAUGAAAGGAGAAGUGAGAGAUAUUUUUAGCACAUCAGGACUGCUUUGAAACAUUGAUUUUUUUUCCAUCUCCUCCCACCCCCCAUAAUUCCAGCAGGAAGAUUCAGUGGCAGGCACUUUAAUUCAGUGUAAAAACAUCUUCUAUAUUACACACUAAAAUAUUCAUGAGGAAAGGGAGUUGCUGAUUUUAAGGCGUAGCUUUAAAACCCACGUCUGUCGGCUUGAUGGUCAGUGUCCCGCCACACAGUCUGGAAGUGUGACGUGGCCAAGGAGGACCCCCAGAAGGAUCCUGUGUCUUCCGUGGGGACUACUCCUUUCCUCAGAGGAGCGGGUUCACAGGAAACUGGAGCAGAAGGAUGCCUUUAGCCCCACUCCUGUUGGUCCUCAGUCCCUUCUCCUUUGAUCAGGUGGUUCAAGCACGCCUUGAAGUUCCGGUGUUCAAACAACGUGACCUCUGCAAUUACGUUCUAAUACUUGUCGGUGCCCAACUUAAACCACUAGCAAUGUUAGUUAAAAACAUCAGGGAGGCCGGGCGCGUGGCUCAUGCCUGUAGUCCCAGCACUUUGGGAGGCCUAGGCGGGCAGAUCACUUGAGGUCAAGAGUUCGAGACCAGCCUGGCCAACAUGGUGAAACUCUGUCUCUACUGAAAAUACAAAAAAAGUUAGCCAGGUGUGGUGGCGGGUGCCUGUAAUCCCAGCUACUUGGGAGGCUGAGGCUGAGGCAGGAGAAUCACUUGAACCCGGGAGGCAGAGGUUGCAGUGAGCUGAGAUCGCGCCACUGCAGUCUAGCCUGGGUGACAGAGACAAAACACAAAACAAAACAAAACACCUCAGGAGGCUGUAAAUCAAGCACAACUGAAGCAAAGAUAAAAACGGGCAGUCUCAGAAUCACCUUUGAAGGUGGAAGGAAGGGCGUUUGUGUGUGACAAGAAGAGUGUACGUUCAUACAAGGGUUUUUACUCCUCCUCUGAAAAGUCCUGCUUGGUGGCUGGCCAGUUUGUCAUGCUUGGCUGCCCAAGCAAGUGGUGGCAGUCGGAGCACAGGAGAAAGCCGCAGGGGGUGAGGAAGAAGUGCUGGAGAGGGCGCUCCACCUUUCGGCUGCCCUGACCUGUCUCCAGCCCCAGGGCAUGUGGUUCUGGGCCGGGCACUGGCCCCCUCUCUGUGGACUGUACCAGGCAGCGGGUAGUGCACAAGCUCUGAGGUCAGGCCACCUGGGCCUAAACUCCAGCUCUGCUCCUUGCUAGCAGUGUGACUCUGGGCACGUUCAAGUUACUUCAUGCUUUGUGCCUCAGUUUCCUCAUCUGUGAAAUGGGGAUGGUAACAGGACCCUCAUCCCAGGACUGCUGUGUGGAUUGAAGUGCCUGCAACGGGAUUUGUCUUUUCUGGGAUCGCGGUGGAUGCUCUAUUCCAGGUGAGGGAGUCUCUUGCUUUCUCCUACCUCUUGCAGCCGCUUUGCCUCUGAGUGGCAAAUAGCAAGUGGCUGAAAAUCACAAUGAGCCCGUCAGAGAAUGGGGAUGGGCCACAAGGCCACAGUCGGAUGGGUUCUCCAUGCCCUCGACUAUGCAGCGGGGUCAGGGCAUCCCUUCCUCCUGGGGUGCCCACACCAUUCCCUUGGAAGUUUAGACAGCAGCCCUUGCCUCGCCAGACGCAGCAACCCCUCCCAGCUACACGUGGAAUCUGUGGCCCAGCCUCCCUCAGAUGACCCGCAUUGCCUGACAGAGACCAGGGGCCCUGAGGGGUGGCUGUCGCUGGCCUGGGACAGGGUCCCUGCAGGUUUUCAGGGUCCUCAGCAGCAUUCGCCAGCGUCGGGUCAGACUGAGUCAUGGGGCCCGAGCUCUCCACGAGUUGGUUCUCCAGUUGGUUCUCGUUGGGGGUAAUGCCCUUCAUCGAACCGCUUCAUCCCCAGCCUGUAUUGUCUCCGUCUCUUCGCAGUUGUCAGAGGGCUCGGCCGCCACCCUGAAACAGCCCAGAGCUCUCUGAAGAGCACGAGCUUUUACGCUUCUCUCCCCAAAUCAACUGACUUUUUCAUUGCUUCUGUGGAGGCUUUCUGUGGGAGAAAAGCGUGUUUAUGGGGCAAGCUCAGAGAGCUCCUGUCCCCGUGGUGGAAUUUUUUUAGUGGCUCUGCCCACGUGGUGGUGAGCGCCGGUGAGGAUGGGACGCAUUUUCUGCUAAAAUGGCUGUGCGAGGCUGCCACCUCGUGGCCAGCACAAGGCAGUGAGUGUGUCCCUUGCUGGAGCUUCUGGGUGAAAUAAACUCAUUUUAAAGGUCUUCAGCAAGGACCUCACUCCCUCACUCUCUCAGUGUGCAUAUCAUUCCAGCUCCAGGGCUUAAUGCGUCUGUUGUGGCAUCUCUCAAAUCUGUACUUUGCUAUCUCUUUGACUACAGAGUCACUACCUUCCGAUAAGCCCUUCUGCUGUCUCCAGACCGAUCCUUCUAAAGCGUAGAUGUCAUUGUCUUUCUCUCAUUAAAGCUCUUUCAUGGCUCCUCAUUUUCCAGGUUCCAGCUCAUGUCUCAGGAGGCCGCUAAGCCCACUCCUCUGCCCCAGCCUGUGUCUGCGCACGUCUCUUCUCCCUUCCUCCUGGUUUCCUCUGGCUGAUACCUGCUCACCUGAAAGUCAUCUCAGGUGCCACCUCCUCCAGGGAUUCCUCGCAUUAGAUUAGCUUCCUUCUUCCCCAUUCCUAGCUGACUUCCUUCAUUAUGCCUCAGAUCCUUUUUUUGGAAGAAAAAGAAAGAAAUGGAAGACAGACUGGCCAGCAGGGGGAGAGAGAGGGAGGGAGGGCAUAUCAGAGAAUUCAAUAUGCUGCGUUUUAACCAGAUACUUUUCUUCCUCUCCCACAAGGCAUCAGAGUAGAGACUGCCUUUCAUCUCUCUCCCCCUUGUGUAAUAGCACAGUGUCUGGCAGAUAACUGUUGCUUGCUAAUUAUUAGAAGGAAGAAAGGGAGGGAGAAUAAAAGCCAGCAUCACCAUGUGAUCUUCCUAAGUGCGACAGAUGUGAGAAAAGAACUACCUUAAGCUCCAGGGGCCCUAGAGGAACGGCGCUGCGUGCUAGUGCAGAUGGUAGCAAACGCUCUCACCUGGCUUGGCAACACUUCUUCACCUCUUCUUUCUACCACCACAGCGACUGUCUCCCUCCAGCCCAUCCUACUGCCAAAUUCAUCUUCUAUUAAGCAUAGCUUCAAUCACAUCAUUUCUUUAUCAAAACACUUCUACAGAGGAGUUCCAAAUGCUUUAGCCGGGCCGUCCAGGGCCUCCACAGGAUGACCCCAGCCCAUCUAGUUUUCUACCACUCUUUAUGUGUUUCCUAAGUACCAUUCAUUAUUUUAGGACUUGGUAUUUGCUGAUGAAUUUACUUACUUACUUGAGAGUGUGGCAAAAGCACAUCCUAAACUUUCAGUUAAAAGGAGUUUGAUUGAUUGACCUGCUCUGAGUUUAAGGCACGUGCUGGUCACUGUGGGAGCCAUUAAAGAAGGUAUUGUUCUGUGGCCGCCAGGAACAGAUAGCCCAGCUGGGGACAAGACAAAAAAGCAGGGGGCAUUAAGGAACAGACAGCAGAAAGGAACAUGUCACAAGUGCACAAUUAAUCGCCAAAUAUAUGGCUCAAGAAGGGGUGGUGAUCAAACCAGAUAAUGUCUGUGAAAGUGCCUCUCUCCUGUCAAACUCCCAAUUCCGAGCAGUCCUACAGUCGGCCCCUUCCACAGGGCGUAGCCCUGUCAUUCCACCUCAAACGUCGUACACACUCGGCCUGUCCUACAAAGCCCUUCGUGAUAAGGCCUGCUUCUCCUUCCCACCUUGUGGGACCCCCGACCCUGGAACCCCGAGCUGCAGAGCUGGAGAGAAUGCACUCUGUUGUUUGGUAUACGUGUUCCUUGAAACAUUCACUCCUCCCCAUUUUCCUUCGGUGUUUAACCUGUUCUUCCUUUAAAAUUCGGCUUUUCCUUUAAAAUCCAGCCUGGAGCUCCCCAAUGAAGACUUCUGUGGCGCUGCAGGCAAAACUCACCACCUGCAGAGUCUCUGCUCUCCCUUGUCAAAUACGCGUUUGUGACAUACAUUGGAAGGCAUCGGGCACAUUUCUGUCAUCUGUGUGACUGUGGACCUCUGCCGCAGGGGUCAUGUCCUUUCCCUUUACAGUGCUUGAUGAGGUACACGUCUUGUCAAUGUUUGUCACGGACUGAAACUUAACACAUUAGAGAGGACAGCAAAGUCAGUUGACUCUAAAUUGUUAAGGCACAAGCUCUGUGAGUUCAGAAGAGACAUGUGCCAGAAUCGGUCCAGGGAGGUUCUUAGAACCUACCAGUUCUAAGUAGGAGUUCUUAGAACCUACCAGUUCUAAGUAGGAAUUCUUAGAACUGGAAGGUCAAAGCUUUGUACAUGUGAAAUAGAUCAAACAAUAAAAAGAAUUCCAUGUAGAAUAGCUCAGUGUCUGUGGCUCCUAAUGGCUCCCCCAUUCUCUGCACCAGCCAGCGGGAGGAGAAAGCCUGCAGAGUGGGGGCAGCGGAGACAGAACAUCUUAACCCCAGCAGAGGCUUUAUCUAAGGAAGUAGAGCGAAUGCCCUGAAGGUGGGUUGGACUUAGGUGGUGGAAAGGUUUCAAAUGCACUCUGUUAUCUUGCAGGUAGUGGCUGCCAUUUAUUACUUUAGAAAACCAUGGCGACUUCAUCAAAGUGGUGUUUUAGAAAGAUGAUCCAGGGCCGUCUUUUCCCUUUGAGAGUGGGAGGUGCCCUGUGGCCCUACCUUCAUUUUCUGUGAUGGUAUUCCCAGUGGUUUCCUCCCUGUGGCUUUGCGGCUUAGUGGUGAACCAAGAGGCUUAGGAUGCAGGUGCAAAGCCCCUCUACUCUUUAAUGCCUCACUUCAAGGUGCAGGAUCUUUCCCUCUGUAAACAAAGGCUUUCCUUCUGGCACUGCCCUUGACCUGCUCAGAGCUGUUCUCUGAUCCUUUGGGUCUCUCUGCCCUCGUGACUGGCAGUGACCUGCUAGGCAGCAACCCCCACGCAGCAGGUGGUCCUCCAGAGCUGAGUCACCACCCCGGGAACCGUGCCCUGGUGAGGCCAUCCAAGGUAGACCGGCACAGGGCGGGUGUGAGUGGCCUCUCCACCUGGCCCCUCGGUCUGGGAGGGCUCUUUCAGCUUGACAGAGAGAGCAAAGGAAACUCGGAUUUUUGGCAAAGCAGAAAAACAUUUUACCUGUGAUCACAGUUAUGGGCCUUGGUCAGUCAUUUGAUUUCAGCACACCCAAAUUGUCCAUUUACAGAUACCUUGAGACAUGGAAAGGGAGGAAAUUUUUUAAUGAUGUUUUAAGAUUCUGUUUGACCUCAUGAAUUAAGAGCGGUGAGAAGUAAUAGAACACGGAGAGAUACCUAAGCCAUUGAUUGAUAUUGUAGGCAAUAAACAAGUGAGAUUCAGAUUAUUUUUAAAAAUUUUUUUCAUGGGCACUGAUGGAUGUUUAAAAAAUUAUGACGUGUUCUGUUCAUGACGCGUUCUGUUCAUUUCCAGAGAAGAGAAAAAUGUGGUUGCUUUUGAAAGGAGGUUUUUUGUUUUGUUUUGUUUUGUUUUUAAACGUCUAGCUUAUUCAUUACACCAGCGAAUAGCAAUGACCUCAGUCUAAAAAGCAAGUUAACCAUCAUCUCUCUCCUUGCCUGGGAAAAGAAGCCUUUAUCUAAGUAGCCAAAAGAUGGGCAAGGCUGACCACCCAGUCAUUUCGGCUGAUCAGGAUUUUCCAAAAAACAAAAAGCUCUCUGUUUUCACAACUGAGUGACAACUCUUAGGAAAUACUACCAGCUUACUCAGUUUGAGUAAGGCCAUGGAGAAGUCUGGUGACAGUCAGUUGCCUGGAUGCACAUGUUACACAUGGCUAACGAUGCUGUCACCACUGGGAGCUUUCAGAAUUGGAGAAAAUAACACCGUGUCUCUUGCUUUCUGAACAUGGAAUUUUUAACUUUUUUUUUUUUUUUUUCUGGAGACAGAGUCUCGCUCUGGCGCCCAGGCUGGAGUGCAGUGGCAUGAUCUCAGCUCACUACAACCUCCACCUCCCGGGUUCAAACAAUUCUCCUGCCUCAGCCUCCCAAGUAGCUGGGAUUACAGGUGCCCACCACCACGCCUGGCUAAUUUCUGUAUUUUUAGUAGAGAUGGGGUUUUGCCAUGUUGGCCAAGCCGGUGUUGAACCCCUGGCCUCAGGUGAUCCACCCACCUCAGCCUCCCAAAGUGCUGGGAUUACAGGCAUGAGCCACCCCAUGCCCAGCUGGAAUUUUUUAACUUAAAAAAAAAAAGUUUCAGUGUUUGUCCUUACCCAUUAUGUGCCCAGUUAGUUCUAUACCAGUGAAAGUUCCCCCCAAAAGAAAAAGAAAAAGAAAAAAAAGACUGUCAUUUUCUUGAGCAGCUUUCUUGAGCUCUGUGUGUGUAUGCCUAUGUCUGGGGCAUACACAAGGACUCUGGCAGGCCCACUAAACUCUACCACGUAGUUGCCAGAUAUGCUGUAAACUGUCACCUGGAAGUUGGGAUUUACUCUUUUAUUUUUCUGUUUAUUUUGCAUGAGUACUGUAUGUAUAAAAAAGUAGCCACAUAUGGAUGGUCAAAGGGUUUCCUAGAAAUAUGGAUAGUCAGAGGGCUUCCUAGAAAUAUGGAUGGUCAAAGGUAUCCUAGUUUUUCAGGUAAACUCCACUAGAAACCAGAACCAUAUCCCAAUUCCAUAGCCUUUAUUAUUUCAGAUCAAUAGAAGCAGAAUCAAAAUGCAUUUGGAGCUUAGAGGUCAAUUGAUUUGGAAACCACUCCGGUGCAAAGAAUCUCUAGAUUCAUUGAUUUUGGAGUAUUGUUUAGGGGAAAAGGACUUUAAAGGCUGGGCGGGG
rnacentral:lncRNA from 1 species